UCAAAUAAUAAAAUAAGUGGUGCAAUACCAAACUGGGUGUGGAAGAAAAGUUUGCGGUAUCUGUUUCUUGCUAAUAACCAUCUCUCAUCUUUGGACCAACUUUUACCCAAUCAGAGUUCAACUUCUUCACAGGGCUCUUUCAUUUUCGACACAUCUUCUAACAAUUUGAGUGGCCCAAUUCCAAAUUGGUUAUGCAAUAUGAGUCAACUUUACAGAUUCAAUGCAUCUUAUAACAAUUUUAGUGGCUCAAUUCCAAAUUGCUUGGACAAUAUGAGCCAACUUGACACUGUCGAUGUAUCUUAUAACAAUUUGAGUGGCCCAAUUCCAAAUUGCUUGGGCAAUAUGAGUGCUCUGAUGUGGUUGGGUUUGCAAGGAAAUAACUUCAGUGGAAUGAUACCAAAAUUUUCAAAAGCAACCCAACUGCGGUUUCUCAAAGUUAGUGAGAAUAGAUUGGAAGGGAAGUUGCCCAGAUCAUUAGCUGAAUGCACUCAGCUUGAAGUUUUGGACGUGGGAAACAACAAGAUGAAUGAUACAUUCCCUUUUUGGUUGGAGAAAUUGCCUUACUUGACGGUUCUAAUAUUGCGGGAAAACAGAUUUUAUGGUCAAAUUAAACAUUUCAAACAUAAAUCUGUUUUCCCAACUUUGGAUGUAUUGGACAUUGCUUCAAACCAGUUUUCUGGUGAACUAUCCAUUGAUUUCCUUCAACCCACUAGACUAAGGUCACUCAAAAUAGGUGGGAAUAAAUUGGAAGGGAAGCUGUCGAGAUCAUUAGCCAAUUGCACAGCACUUGAGGUUCUGGACCUUGGAAAUAAUAUGGUUCAUGAUACAUUCCCAUUUUGGUUAGAGAAGCUACCUUCCUUGAAGGUUCUCAUUUUGCGAGCAAACAGAUUCUACGGCACAAUUACAGAAUUCAACACAGAACGUGGGUUUCCAAAGCUACGCAUUUUGGACAUUGGUUCCAACAAAUUUUCAGGCGACUUGUCCGUUGAAUUUUUGCAAAGCUUGAAGGCAAUGAUGCAGAUAACAAAUGAGGAUAAAGCUAAGCGGGUUUACAUUGGGGACGACUAUUAUCAAGACUCUGUGACAAUUGUUAACAGAGGGAUUGAAAUGUUCUACCAAAGAGUCUUGACAAUUCUUACUUGUCUUGACCUUUCCAACAAUAGUUUCCAUGGGAGAAUACCAGAAGAAAUACAAAUGCUGAGGUCACUCAGAGUGAUGAACUUAUCCAACAAUGGCUUCUCUAGUGAAAUCCCAUUAGCACUUCAAAAUCUAAAAGACCUCGAAUCUUUGGAUCUCUCAAGAAACAAGCUGUCAGGGAAGAUUCCUCCACAACUUACAAGUCUAACUUUCCUGGCAGCAUUGAACUUGUCAUACAACCAACUUGAAGGGAGCAUACCACAAAGCAACCAAUUCAUUACAUUUACAAAUGAUUCCUACCGUGGGAACCCAAAAUUGUGUGGGCUGCCAUUGUCAAGGAAAUGCAAUGAAGUUGGUCUUCCAAUGCCACCACCUCCAGUGGAAGAUGAAGAUUCAUGGUUAAAUGCUCUGUCUACUUGGAAAAUUGCAUUGAUAGGUUAUGCUAGCGGAUUAGUCGUUGGGCUAUGUAUUGGAUAUACAGUGCUGAAUGAGUUGGGAAACAAAUGGGUUUACAAGUUCAAGUGUGGGAAAAGAAAUAGAAGAAGAUGUAGGUGACUCCAUCAGAAUUCUUGCUUCAAAAUUAGCUGGUAAGCAUUUGUCUUUCUACUUUGAACUGAUAGUUGUUGAUAUAUAUAUAUAUAGGUUUUCAUAACCUCAUUUUUUGCUGUCAUUACCAAGUUCACUAUCAUAUCGUACUUGUAAUUUUAUGUUACCAUUGAGCAAUGCAGGAGGUACUUGAAGCAGGACAUGGAAUGUACAGUUGUGAGGUUCAUGAAGAAUGUAGGCAAUGAUCCUAACAAGAUCAAUCCACUGGUUUGUAAUUUUGCUUUAUAUGCACUUUUUUCCUGUUGUAGUUUUCUAUGAGUAUAAAUAAGUGUUUAUUCAUUUUGCAUCCAGGUCCCUGUGGAUUUGGGGGAUGCAAUGUUUCACUGCUACUGAAUUUCCAAGCUAAUAAUGAUAUUAUAAACAGGGAAAUGGCUGCCCAAGCUUUCUUUUAUAUGCAAUUUACUUCAAUUUUUUUAUCUUUAGAAUAUUUGUACAGCUGAGGAGAUUUGAUGGCAUGAUGUUGAUGAAAGCCAUAUCUGAUGGACAUUGGACUGAUUGUGUAAAGAGACGCAGAUGCUGCUACUCCCAUCCUUUGCUCUUCCAAACAGACGUGAGUUUUAUAUUUUAUGAAUCACGUGUUGGGCUUUAGGACCGGGUGUAAAGGGUGGACCUGUUGGUCCGGGUUUUAGUUCAGCCCGUCACUUAUUUUUAUACUAGUUUAUUUAUACUUUCAAUGAUAGUUUUAUUAAUUUAAAAAAUAUGGUUGAAUUAAGUAAUAAUAUGAUAAAAUAAUAAUAAUUAAAAUUUAAUGAAAUAAAUUAUGUCUUAACUUUCCAAUGUUAGCGAAAGGCCAACAAUAUCUCACCUUAUUAUUUUCUUUGUUAAUCCAAAAUUAAAAAGUUCAAAUUAGAAUGUGAUUUAGAGUUUGAAGACUUAAUUAAAUUUUUUUGAAGUUUAGAGUUCAAUUUAACAUAUAAUCCAUAGUUUAGGGACAUCAAGUGAAUUAACCCUUUGAUAAAUCCUAACAUAUUCAUAAGUUGCAUACUCAUUAAUAAAUUAGGACUAAAAUGCUUAUUGGUAAAUUGAUUUCACAUAUAAGUUAAUAUAUUUUUGGGUGCUAUACCAAAGUUUAAUUAAAAGAUUUUAAUGGUACACUUUUACAUUUUAAAAAUUUAAAUUAUAUAUAAACAAUUAUGAUAUAAAAUCGAGACGGCCCACAUCUAAAAUAUUUUAAGCAUCAAAUACAUGAAAAAAAAAAUUCUAAACCCAAAUAUUUUAAGCAUUCGAAACAUUGGCAUUGGCAUCAAUUAGAACACUUGGAUUGGAUAAUGAAAAAAAAAAAAUCCAAACCCAUCUAUUUAACAACGGUAUGUUUAUUAUAUGAUUUUCAAUACAAAAUCAGAUAAUUAAUCGGACACUGUUGAGUUAACUAAUACUUACAAUGUUCAAUUAAAUGAUUUUUUCCAAAAAAAAUUAAUUGUUUAUAUUUCGAAUCCAAUUCAACCAAUAAAAAGCCAGUUAUAUUUGAAUGCGAAUGCAAAGCAGUGGAUAUAACGUAAGGGACUCAAUCCAAUUUGGCAUUCUAAAUGAUGUCUUAAUUACAAUGUGGUACGCUUUCCAGAGUUGGCAAACAACCUAAAGCACUUGUUUAAUUUAUCUUUGAAAAGUGAUAAAAAUAUUAAUAACUAAAAUUAAAAAACUGCAAGAACCAUUAUCUUUCACAAAUUAUUCAAAAUCAUAUGGUAUUUGUAGUCGUUGGCUUAUAUUUUGAAAAGAUUGAUGUUACAAACUAACUCUGAAUUUCCUAAGCUUAUUUUUUGUCCCUUGACACACUUCGCUAUCAUAUGGUAUUUGUAGUCGUAGGCUUGUAGCAUUGACAUUCAUUUUAUCAUUUCGCAAUGCAAGAGGUACUGAAACAGGCUAAGCUGAAACGGCUCAUUAGGUUUGCUACUCCAAAAGACUCUUCGAAAAGAGCAAUGAAAGAAGCGACAAAAGGGUCCUUGGCUGUUUGUGAUGAUGCACUUACAUAUACUCACUUCUAUACGAUUCAUGUAAAUCCUUUCUAUAACUUAUUUCCUAGGAAGCAUUCCUCUAUUAGAGCAACUAAUCCAUAAUUCUUAAAUCCAGAUACUGUAAUUGGUUUUUUUUUUUUUUCUCUCGAUUUUGUAGCAGGGGCCAAACUCCCCAAUGUCUUGGCUACCAAUCUUCUUUAAUUUAAUCGAACUCAUUUAUGGUAAGGAUGAGUUUUGGAAUGCUCUAUGAAUAUUGUGAGUUGAACAUGAGCAGCAUACUUGAUAUGCAAAAUCUAAUAUCAAGAAUCUCCCUUGUGAGGUUCAUUUUUGCUUCAAUUCACAGCCAUUUGGGGUACGUAAUUUGUCUCUAGCACUGAACUUUCAUGCCAAAUAAUGCUAUAUUAUAAACAAGGAUCAUGGCUUUUCCAAGCCUUCUUUAAUAUGAAUUUACUCUUUAGUUCAGAAUUUUAUUUUCAAAUUAUUUUUGUGCAGCUUGGAAGAUAAUAUGACGAGUUGAUGUUGAUGAAAGCCACAUUUAACACCGUGAUUCUGCAAAGAGACACCACUGCUAGAUGUGCCUCUUUGAAACAGGACAAGCUCAAGCAAAGAUCGUUAACUUUAUCUUUGAAAACAAUGGUAAAAGUUUCUAACUAAUUAUCUUUUCCUUGACAUCUUCUUUAAUCAUGCUUGAAUUAAGUUUAAGCAUAUGAAAGACAUGAUUGUUGGUAGAUAAAUGAGAAGCUUCAUGUUCUAAUUUUCAGGCUAAUGGUCUAAGAAGACAGUAAGGCGUGUUGAUUGCAGUUUGUUAUCUAUUCUAUGGAAAAGAAAACGUGCAUUGCCAACAUAAAGUACAGAAAGGAUAUGCAUAAGGUGCAAAGGCUUAUCACCGAAGCAAGUCUACAGCUUGUUUAAGGCGGCUCAUGUUCUCUUACAUGUAAUUUGCAUGAAAUCUUAUUAUCUUAGGAUUAUACUGGAGUGCCACCAGCAGUUGACCUCACUAGCAUGUGAGACACUGUUAAGAAUCUUGACAAUGAUCUUAACAAGAUUAUUCCACUAGUUUGUAAUUUUCCCUCUAUAUUUUACCAGUAGUAUAUAACUUAUUUACUUCUAUAUCUUGCAAUUUAUGCAGCCCCCGAGCAUGGUAUAGCUUGGUGUUGGUAGAUUCACAUUGUCCAAGAACUUACAAGAUGUUGAGAAAGCAUAGUGUUGGCAAAAUUUUUGAGUUUUAUGGUUAAGUCUAUGAUCAUAAAUCUUAAGAAUAGAAUGAUUUUACUAUAAAAAAUUUCAGGUUUAUAGGACUUUAUCAUCAAUGUAACUAUUUUUAAUGUGGUUAUAGGAGAGGGUGUGGCUGAAUUAUCAUUAGCUAAUCAUGGUCGAGCCAUAGUUGCAGACAUGGGACCUGAAUAAUGUGCAACCAUGGGUUGUCUUUCCUGUGGAUCAUACAGCCUUGCAAUUCCUUAAUUUAACCAGCAGGAGUGGUGACACAGUUCAUUCUCCGUCCAUUUUAUGCGUGGUGAUGACUCCAACAAGGUUUUAUGUUAUUAUUGCUACUAUUUUGUCUUUUUAAUAAUUUAGAUAUAAGAACAUUUUCAUAUAUAUAUAGAAUAAGGAUGAGACAGAAGGACUAAAAUACUGGCAUCAAUAACAACACUAAGACCAAUAAAAUCUCAUAUUUCAAAAUUAGAAUUGAAAAAAAAUAUAAAAGAUUGAAGAUGCAAAGCAAAUAAAUUAAGUGUGAAUUGAAAACCUUAAUGCUAAGACUAAGAAUAAAUAAUUCAUCCCUUAAGACUAAUAGCUUCAUCAUCAUCCUUUGCUGCGAUAUGACUCUGGCUUGAAUUUAAAGAAGCAAAUAUGAAGUACUCAUCAUGCGAGAGAAAAUUACUUAGCUAAGAGAAGAAAUCAUUUACUUCAACCAAACUAUCCCCGGUAGAAAUAAAAGCCAAAAGAAUUAGAUUCAUUCAAAACAAAAAAUUGUAGGGAUUAGUUUUAUAAUUUUACUUAAAUUUUCAUUUCAUCAGGAGGACGUGGGUUCGAAUAUGUUGAAGUGCAUUAUGCUCCUAUUUAUGGGUUGGGGAGAGACUAAGCGUAGUUUUAGGCAUUGUAUCAAAAAAAAAAGAUUUGAUCAGAACCUAUAAUGUGAAAAGUUGUUACUAAAAAGUUUAAAAAAUAGAAUUUUUAGUUUCCUUUUGUUUAUUUAUUAUUUUUUUCAUAAUAUCUUUUAUCUAUAUUUGAAGUGUUUUGGGUUUAAUUUUUAAUCAUUAUAAUCAAAAACCCAAUUUUGUACUAAUAAAGCACACCAUUGUUAGUUUUUAGUGUUAUUUUUGAGGUAUUAUAUAUUUGUAUUUGACCUAUGUUUAUAAUGGUGAUCAGACCCGUUUUUAAUAUUUUUGAGACCCUAGGCGAAACAAUAAAUCGGGGUCUUGUUUAAAAAAUUAUUAAAUGUAAUACAAAAAAAUGAACCUUUUUUAUUUUAUAUUUUUUCUGCCUGCAAUAAAUCAAAAGACUAAAAAAGUUAAAAAAAUUUCACGUUAAAAAUUAAAAAAAGAAACUUUUUGCCCUAAAGUUGGGCUGACGGAGACUAGAAAACAACCCAACAAAUUCCAAUAAAAUCUCAUACUACAAAAUUGGAAUUAACAAAUGGAAAAACAAAAAGACAUUGGUAAAGCAAAAUAAGUGUGAAACAUGAACAAAUUGACAUGAAGACUAAGAAGAGAGUAUGAAAAAUUUUAAAAUUGUAAUUUAGGAUGACUUUAAAAUAUGGGGAAGAUUCAUGAAAAUUAAAUGGGCCUGAAAUCAAUGAUUUUGCAGUUUCUCUUUGUUGAUUUGGUGGAUGUUUCCCACUACUUUUAAUGGUUCCAAUUAUAUACUUGGAAAUUGGAAUUACUUUUGCCACUCAUUUCUCAUGUUGGUUUGGCCAAUAAAAGAUUAUUUGCAUAAAGCAACAAUGCGGCAAUAGGCUGCAAUAUUUCCACAUGCCUCUCAAACUUUUUACUCCAAUUUUAAGGAUUUUUUUUAUUUUUUAAAAAUUAACAUAUUUUUCUACCUUUCUUCUUUCUCUUCUCAUCCUCUCUUUCUCAAUCUCACCUCCCCAAAAAAUGCAAAAUAAAAAAAAUUAUUUUAAUUUUUAAAAAAUAUAAAUUUUGGAAUUUUUAUGAAUUUUUUGAAUUUUUUGAAAAGUAUUUUAAAUUAUUUUGUAAUUUUUGUUGAGAGAUAUCAAUUUGUUAAAUUUUAAAAUUGACAAUGACCAAAGGAGCAUGUACACCAAUUUAUUGUAUGAAUUGUUCGGGUUAUUUAAAUUAUAAAAUUCAACUCGAAAAUCAAAUUAUAAAUAUUUUUAAUAUUAUAAAACAUAAAAAUAUUAAGAUUAAAUAAUAAUAUAGAAAAGGAAUUUUUUUUCUCCAAAUUUCUCAUCCAAAUACAGUCUAAGAAAGCUUGAAAGCUGAAAUUUAAAAAUAUUAUUAUCUUAACUCGAUUUAAAAUUUUUUUGAGUCAAGUCGAGUGCAAAGAAAUUAGAGUUGAAUUGAAUCGAGUGAAAUUGUUUGAGUUAAACUAAAAAUUUUAAUAUGUCAAAUUGAAAUAUUUUUAUGGUAUAAUUAAUUUUAUGUUAGAGCACAUAAAUUUGAAACCAUAUAUAUAUAUUUGAAAACUUUUGUUGAAAAUUUUUAAUAAUAUAAACUCGAAACUUGAAUUAUAAAAAUAUUUAAUAAUAUAAAACAUAAAAAAUAUUAAAAUUAAAUAAUAAUAUAGAAAUAAAAAUUUUUCUUCAAAUUUCUCAUCCAAAUACAGUCUAGAAAAGUUUUAAAGAUGAAAUUUAAAUAUGUUUGUUUCAAAAGUGGAAAAUUCUAUAUAUUGAAUCAUCAAAAUUUUCACUUAUUGUGUUCAUCAAUCCAGCGAAGACUUAACUUGUACACAUUUCUUUGAUAAAUUAUAACUUAUUUACAAAUUCGAUACUCAUUAACAAAUUGAUAUUAUAUUUUAAGUUAAAUUAUUUUAAAUUAUUUUGUAAUUUUUGUUGAGAGAUAUCAAUUUGUUAAUUUUUAAAAUUAAUAGGGACUAAAGGAGUAUGUAUAUCAAUUUGUUGUUUGAAUUAUUUGUGUUUUUCAUCAUAAAAUUCAACUCGAAACUGGAAUUGUAAACAUAAAGAGAGCCUAAGCCUAAGGUCAUGCAAUCUUACUGAAUUUCCAGAAUUCAUUAAAAGGCAACCCAAGUUGGUUGACUUAGAUCUUUCUAAUAACCAUAUCCAUGGUUUUGUGCCCAAUUGGUUGUGGAAGAGCAGUCUUUCAUGGGUAGACCUUUCUUUCAAUGUGAUUGAUUUUCCAAAACAGCUUCCCUUAAAUGAUGCAAACUUCUCAUUUCCAAUGUUGGCAGACUUGGAUUUGAGAUCCUGCAACAUAAGUGCGUUUCCAGAGUUCAUCAAAACACAAGACAAGUUGGUUGACUUAGAUCUUUCUAACAAUCAUAUCCAUGGUGUUGUGCCUAAUUGGUUCUGGAAGAGCAGCCUUUCAAGGGUAAACCUUUCUUUCAAUGUGAUUGAUUUUCCAAAACAACUUCCCUUAAAUGAUGCAAACUUCUUAUUUCCAAUGUUGACAGGAUUGGAUUUGAGAUCCUGUAACAUAAGUGCGUUUCCAGAGUUCUUAAAGAGUCAAAAAAAUUUAGAAGAAUUCGACGCAUCUUAUAACAAUUUGAGUGGCCCAAUUCCAAAUUGGUUAUGCAAUAUGAGUCUACUUUACACUUUCGAUGCAUCUUAUAACAAUUUGAGUGGCUCAAUUCCAAAUUGCUUGGUCAAUAUGAGUCAACUUGAAACUUUCGAUGUAUCUUAUAACAAUUUGAGUGGCCCAAUUCCAAAUUGCUUGGGCAAUAUGAGUGCUCUGAUUUUGUUGGGUUUGCAAGGAAAUAACUUCAGUGGAAUGUUACCAAAAUUUUCAACAGCAACCCAACUGCAAUUUCUGAAAGUUAGUGAGAAUAGAUUGGAAGGGAAAGCAAAGGCACGGCGGUGGUCACGCUGGUCGUGGUGGCGCGACGGCGAUCAGGGCCCUUUCGCUGCUGCUUUCUUGACCCUUUUUUUGCUUCUUUUUUUUUGCGAAAAAAACUGAAACCCCCCCUUCUCUUCAAUUUUUCUUUUUAAUCCCUCCAAAAUUGUCUUCUUCCUCUUUGUUUUUAGGUGACAGGGGAAGAAAAUCAUGGCCUAGGGAGCUGCCGGAGUAGCUGGAAGUGGCAGGAGCAUGCUUGGAUGCCGAUUGGGUGAUUUGACAAGUCCAGAAGGACCAAAAUGUAGAAGACACAAAAUAUUUGGGGUAAAAAUGUGAUUUGGGGAAAAUAUAGGGCCAAGAUGUAAUUUUUUGAAAUUUUAAGGGUCAAAGUGUAAUUUACAAAAUAUUAGGGGUCAAUAUAUAAUUUUUGAAAAAUUUAGGGGCUAAAAUGUAAUUUAUUUUUUUGUAUUUUUUCAAAGUUUUAUUAUUACUAUUAAUAUUUAAAACAUAAAUUAAAAAUGGACUAAGACAAUUCCAAUAUUAAAUCCUAAUGGGCCCAAUCAUUGGGCCCAUACGAGGCCGACCCGGCCCAAAAUUCUAACCGGGCAAAAUUUAGUGAUUACAGUUAUUUUUGUGCAAUCAAAAUUUGGACAUUUGCAUGCAAUGCCAAAGACUUAAGAUAUUUCAUACUAUCAUUUUUCCCGAUCCAAAGUUAAAGAUAUUAAAAAUUUUAAAUUAGAAUGUUAUUUAUAAUUUGAGAAUUUGAGAUAGAAGGUGAAUUAACACUUUGAUAAAUCAUAACAUAUUUAUAAGAUGGAUACUCAUUAACAAGUUGAUUUUAUAUUAUAAGUUAAAUUUUAUUUUUUUUGGUGUUAUAACAAAAUUACCUUAGAAGAUUACAUUGUAAUUUUUUUAUUUUAAAAAAUGAUGUAGAAAUAAUUAUGUAUAACAUAAAAAAUGAUAAAGUUUGGCCAAGUUUAAAAUAUUUGUAACAUAAUUUUUUCUACAAAGUCCAUACUUAAUAUAUAUAAUUUAAACUUAAAAUCUCGGUUGAAGUAUUAUCUUUGCUUAUUUUAUACGUAGUGACGGUUCCAAUAAGAUUUAAAGUACAUUAUUAUUACUAUAAAUUUGUCUUUUUUAAUGACUUAGAUAUAGAAGAUUAUUUAUAUAGACUAAGGAGUGGGCAAGAAAACUAAAACCUCGGCAUUAAUAAGAAAAAUGACAUCAAUAAUAUAUUAAAAUCUCAUUCUUCAAAAUCAAUAAUAUAUUAUUCUUUAAUAAUAUAUUAAAACGCAAAUUAAAUGUGAAUUUAACAACUUAUUUCUAAUACUAACAACAAAUAAUUUAUGCUAUAAAUUAUUUAUUAUUAGUAUUAUUAUUAUUAUCCCUUGCUGGAAAAGGUUAACCAAAAAGACUUAGCUAAAGUGGUGGAACAUUAUUUUGAUGCAGUAUUGACUGGGCAAAAAGACUUGGAAAUUGCGUGCUAUGCCAAACAUGAAAACUACACAUUUGUGUAUAAAUAAGUUGUAUGCCAAGCACAAUCCUUCUUCACACCCAACAAACAUGAACACUCUUCAUUUCCUUAUUUCACUCUUCCUCUUCUCAUGCGUCCUUUCUCUUGUCAUGUCUUUUUCACCUCCUCAAACUCAUCUCCCUAAGCAAUGCCUUGAUGAUCAGAGAGCUCCUCUCCUGCAAUUGCAGCGUCAUCUUUACUGUGCCCCUAAUUUUACUUUCUCUUCCAAAUUUGACCUCUGGGAUGUCAACACUGAUUGUUGUUCUUGGGAAGGAGUCACUUGUGAUGCUUAUGGUCAUGUCGUUGGCAUUGAUCUUAGCAAUAAAAACCUUUCAGGCAGGUUUCACCCCAUAUUCAAUCUCCAUCGUCUUCAACACCUUAAUCUUGCUGGAAACAACUUUAAUACCACUAUGUUUUCCCAUGGGUUUCACAAACUCCAAAAUCUAACCCAUCUCAAUCUUUCAAGCUCAUGUUUCCAUGGCCAAAUUCCAGUGGAGAUCUCAUACUUAACGAGGUUAGUGUCUCUUGAUCUAUCUAAUCAAGGUUCUUGUUAUUUGCGAUACUACGCCAUUCUUGACCCAUAUAGAGGCGUCUACACCUACAAUGAUCCAUUGCCUUACGAACUUCAACAGCCUCUUAAAUUAGAGAAUCCAAACUUCAAGACAUUAAUCAAGAAUUUGAGGUUUCUCACAGAGCUUUAUUUGGAUGGGGUAAACAUUUCAACUCAAAGUGCUAAAUGGUGUGAAACCACAUCUCUUGUACUUUCCAACCUGCGUGUGUUGAGUCUGUCAAACUGUGGUUUGAAAGGUCCAUUAUGUUCUUCACUCUCAAGACUCUCUUUUCUUUCCAAACUUAUCCUUGAUGGGAACCCAAUCUCUUAUUUACCUCCCAAUUUCUUGGAAAUUUCCUCUCGUUUGGUUUCUCUCAGUUUGAGGAACUGCUAUUUGAGUGGCCAUUUUCCAACUGAAAUUCUCUUAUCGCCAAAAAUUCAAAGCAUUGACAUUUCAUUGAACCACCAACUUAUGGGUCAGUUGCCAGAAUUUCCAGCAAACAAUGCAUUACUGAGUCUGUCACUUUAUUUUACAAAUUUCAGUGGAAAACUGCCUGAAUCGAUUGGUAAUCUUAAGUUCCUGACAAAUUUAGAGCUUUCUUAUUGCAAUUUUUUUGGACCUAUUCCAUCGUCAAUUACGAAUCUUAGUCACCUGGUCAACCUAUAUCUGGGAGGGAACAUGCUUUCUGGAUCAAUACAUUCUUCUUUAUUCACUCUUCCAUCAUUAAAGACCCUGUCUCUUGGAGAAAAUCACUUGGUUGGGAAAAUUGAUGAGUUCCCCAAUGCAUCUUCUUCUUUGAUUCAAGAACUAUAUAUAGGCAAUAAUUAUUUAACAGGACCAAUCCCAAAGUCAAUCCUUCAACUUCCAAGGCUUGAAUGGCUUUAUAUUGAAAGCAAUAGCUUCAGUUCCAUGAAGCUUGACAUGUUUGUCCAACUCAAGAACUUGAGGUAUCUGACUCUGUUCAACACAAGCUUGUUAAUUGAAAGCGACAGCAGAAGUCUUCCUUUUCCACAAUUAGAGAGCCUAACCCUAAGGUCAUGCAACCUUACUGAAUUUCCAGAAUUCAUUAAAAGGCAAGACAAGUUGGUUGACCUCGAUCUUUCUAACAGCCAUAUCCAUGGUUUUGUGCCCAAUUGGUUGUGGAAGAGCAGUCUUUCAUGGGUAGACCUUUCUUUCAAUGUGAUUGAUUUUCCAAAACAGCUUCCCUUGAAUGAUGCAAACUUCUCAUUUCCAAUGUUGAAAGAAUUGCGUUUGAGAUCCUGUAACAUAAGUGCGUUUCCAGAGUUCAUCAAAACACAAGACAAGUUAGUUGUGUUAGAUCUUUCUAACAACCAUAUCCAUGGUGUUGUGCCUAAUUGGUUGUGGAAUAGCUCUCUUUCAGGGGCAAACCUUUCUUUCAAUGUGAUUGAUUUUCCAAAACAGCUUCCCUUAAGUGAUUUAAACUUCUCUUUUUCAAUGUUGAGGGAAUUGUAUCUGGAAUCUUGUAACAUAAGAUCAUUUCCAGAGUUCUUAAAGAGUCAAGAAAAUUUAGAAUAUCUCGAUCUUUCAAAUAAUAAAAUAAGUGGUGCAAGUCCAAACUGGGUGUGGAAGAAAAGUUUGCGGUAUCUGUUUCUUGCAAAUAACCAUCUCUCAUCUUUGGACCAACUUUUACCCAAUCAGAGUUCAACUUCUUCACAAGACUCUUUCUAUUUCGACGCAUCUUAUAACAAUUUGAGUGGCCCAAUUCCAAAUUGGUUAUGCAAUAUGAGUCAACUUCGCGGUUUUGAUGCAUCUUAUAACAAUUUGAGUGGCUCAAUUCCAAAUUGCUUGAACAAUAUGAGUCAACUUGAAACUUUCGAUGUAUCCUAUAACAAUUUGAGUGGCCCAAUUCCAAAUUGCUUUGGCAAUAUGAGUGCUCUGAUUUGGUUGAUUUUGCAAGGAAAUAACUUCAGUGGAAUGUUACCAAAAUUUUCAAAAGCAACCCACGUAUAUAUUCUGAAAGUUAGUGAGAAUAGAUUGGAAGGGAAGUUGCCCAGAUCAUUAGCUGAAUGCACUCAGCUUGAAGUUUUGGACGUGGGAAACAACAAGAUGAAUGAUACAUUCCCUUUUUGGUUGGAGAAAUUGCCUUACUUGACGGUUCUAAUAUUGCGGGAAAACAGAUUUUAUGGUCAAAUUAAACAUAGAUUUGUUUUCCCAACUUUGGAUGUGUUGGACAUUGCUUCAAACCAGUUUUCUGGUGAACUAUCCAUUGAUUUCCUUCAACCCACUCGACUAAGGUCACUCAAAAUUGGUGGGAAUAAAUUGGAAGGGAAGUUGUCGAGAUCAUUAGCCAAUUGUACAGCACUUGAGGUUCUGGACCUCGGAAAUAAUAUGGUUCAUGAUACAUUCCCAUUUUGGCUAGAGAAGCUACCUUCCUUGAAGGUUCUCGUUUUGCGAGCAAACAGAUUCUACGGCACAAUUUCAAAAAUCGACACGGAGCGUGGGUUUCCAAAGCUACGCAUAUUGGACAUUGGUUCCAAUCAUUUUUCAGGUGACUUGUCCAUUGAAUUUUUGCAGAGUUUGAAGGCAAUGGCGAAGAUGACUAAGGACGAAAAGGUUAAGCGGGUUUACAUUGGGGACGUCUAUUAUAAAGAUUCUGUGACAAUUGUUAACAGGGGGGUUGAACUAUUUUACCAAAAAAUCUUAACUGUUCUUACUUGUCUUGACCUUUCCAACAAUAGUUUCCAUGGGAGAAUACCAGAAGAGAUACAAAUGCUGAGGUCACUCAGAGUGAUGAACUUAUCCAACAAUGGCUUUUCUGGUGAAAUCCCAUUAGCACUUGAAAAUCUAAAAGAUCUUGAAUCUUUGGAUCUCUCACAGAAUGAGCUGUCAGGGAAGAUUCCUGCACAACUUACAAGUUUAACUUUCUUAGCAGCAUUGAAUUUGUCUUACAACCUACUUGAAGGGAGCAUACCGCAAGGCAACCAAUUCAGUACAUUUUCAAAUGAUUCUUACCGUGGGAAUCCAAAAUUAUGCGGUCCACCAUUGUCCAAGAAAUGCAAUGAAGUUGGUCUUCCAAAGCCACCACCUCUAGGGGAAGAUGAAGAUUCAUGGUGAUAUGCUGUGUCUACUUGGAAAAUUGCGUUGAUAGGUUAUGCUAGUGGAUUAGUCGUUGGGCUAUGUAUUGGAUAUACAGUGCUGAAUGAGUUGGGAAACAAAUGGGUUGACAAGUUCAAAAAGUGUGGGAAAAGAAAUAGGAGGAGAUGUAGGUGACUCCAUCAGAAUUCUUGCUUCAAAAUUAGCUGGUAAGCAUUUGUCUUUCUAAUUUGAACAGAUAGUUGUUGAUAUAUAUAUAGGUUUUCAUAACCUCAUUUUUUGCUGUCUUUACCAAGUUCACUAUCAUACCGUACUUGUAAUUUUAUGUUACCAUUGAGGUACAUGAAUAAUCUAGGCAGUGAUCCUAACAAUGAUCCUAACAGCUGAGGAGAUUUGAUGGCUUGAUGCUGAUGAAAGCUUUUUCUGAUGGACAUUGGACUGAUUGUGUCAAGAGAUGCAGAUGUUGCUACUCCCACCCUUUGCUCUUCCAAAGAGACAUUAGCUUUAUAUUUUAUCAAUCACGUGUUGGGGUUUAGGAUCGGGUGUAAAGGGUGGACCUAUUGGUCCGGGUUUUAGUUCAACCCGACACUUAUUUUUAUACUAGUUUAUUUAUAGUUUCAGUGAUAGUUUUAUUAAUUUUAAAAAUAUAGUUGAAUUAGAUAAUAAUAUGAUAAAAAUAAAAAUAAAAAUAAAAAUUGUCACAGGGGCCUUUCAGUUUCGACGCAUCUUCUAACAAUUUGAGUGGCCCAAUUCCAAAUUGGUUAUGCAAAAUGAGUCGACUCGGCCGUUUUGAUGUAUCUUAUAACAGUUUGAGUGGCCCAAUUCCGAAUUGCUUGGGCAAUAUGAGUGCUCUCUAUUCGUUGGAUCUGCAAGGAAAUAACUUCAGUGGAAUGAUGCCAAAAUUUUCAAAAGCAACCCAACUGUCGUUUCUCAAAGUUAGUGAGAAUAGAUUGGAAGGGAAGUUGCCCAGAUCAUUAGCUGAAUGCACUCAGCUUGAAGUUUUGGACGUGGGAAGCAACAAGAUGAAUGAUACAUUCCCUUUUUGGUUGGAGAAAUUGCCUUACUUGACGGUUCUAAUAUUGCGGGAAAACAGAUUUUAUGGUCAAAUUAAACAUUUCAAACAUAAAUCUGUUUUCCCAACUUUGGAUGUAUUGGACAUUGCUUCAAACCAGUUUUCUGGUGAACUAUCCAUUGAUUUCCUUCAACCCACUCGACUAAGGUCACUCAAAAUAGGUGGGAAUAAAUUGGAAGGGAAGCUGUCGAGAUCAUUAGCCAAUUGCACAGCACUUGAGGUUCUGGACCUUGGAAAUAAUAUGGUUCAUGAUACAUUCCCAUUUUGGUUAGAGAAGCUACCUUCCUUGAAGGUUCUCGUUUUGCGAGCAAACAGAUUCUACGGCACAAUUUCAAAAAUUGACACGAAACGUGGGUUUCCAAAGCUACGCAUAUUGGACAUUGCUUCCAACAAUUUUUCAGGUGACUUGUCUAUUGAAUUUUUGCAGAGUUUGAAGGCAAUGGCGGAGAUGACUAAUGAUGAAAAGGCUACGCUGGAUUAUAUCGGAGAGAAUUAUUAUCAAGACUCUGUGACAAUUGUUAACAGAGGGAUUGAAAUGUUGUACCAAAAAGUCUUGACAAUUCUUACUUGUCUUGACCUUUCCAACAAUAGUUUCCAUGGGAGAAUACCAGAAGAGAUACAAAUGCUGAGGUCACUCAGAGUGAUAAACUUAUCCAACAAUGGCUUUUCUGGUGAAAUCCCAUUAGCACUUGAAAAUCUAAAAGAUCUUGAAUCUUUGGAUCUCUCACAGAAUGAGCUGUCAGGGAAGAUUCCUGCACAACUUACAAGUUUAACUUUCCUGGCAGCAUUGAACUUGUCAUGCAACCAACUUGAAGGGAGCAUACCACAAAGCAACCAAUUCAUUACAUUUACAAAUGAUUCCUACCGUGGGAACCCAAAAUUGUGUGGGCUGCCAUUGUCAAGGAAAUGCAAUGAAGUUAGUCUUCCAAUGCCACCACCUCCAGGGGAAGGUGAAGAUUCAUGGUUAAAUGCUCUGUCUACUUGGAAAAUUGCGUUGAUAGGUUAUGCUAGUGGAUUAAUCGUUGGGCUAUGUAUUGGAUAUACAGCGCUGAAUGAGUUGGGAAACAAAUGGGUUGACAAGUUCAAAAAGUGUGGGAAAAGAAAUAGAAGAAGAUGUAGGUGACUCCGUCAGAAUUUUUGCUUCAAAAUUAGCUGGUAAGCAUUUGUCUUUCUAAUUUGAACAGAUAGUUGUUGAUAUAUAUAUGUAUAUAUAUAGGUUUUCAUAACCUCAUUUUUUGUUGUCAUUACCAACUUCACUAUCAUAUCGUACUUGUAAUUUGAUGUUACCAUUGAGCAAUGCAGGAGGUACUUGAAGUAGGAAAUGGAAUGUACAGUUGUGAGGUUCAUGAAGAAUGUAGGCAAUGAUCCUAACAAGAUCAAUCCACUGGUUUGUAGUUUUGCUUUAUAUGCACUUUUUUCCUGUUGUAGUUUUCUAUGAGUAUAAAUAAGUGUUUAUUCAUUUUGCAUCCAGGUCCCUGUGGAUUUGGGGGAUGCAAUGUUUCACUGCUACUGAAUUUCCAUGCUAAUAAUGAUAUUAUAAACAAGGAAAUGUCUGCCCAAGCUUUCUUUUAUAUGCAAUUCACUUCAAUUUUUUUAUCUUCAGAAUAUUUGUACAGCUGAGGAGAUUUGAUGGCAUGAUGUUGGUGAAAGCCAUAUUUGACGGACAUUGGACUGAUUGUGUAAAGAGACGCAGAUGCUGCUACUCCCAUCCUUUGCUCUUCCAAACAGACAUGAGUUUUAUAUUUUAUGAAUCACGUGUUGGGCUUUAGGACCGGGUGUAAAGGGUGGACCUGUUGGUCCGGGUUUUAGUUCAGCCCGUCACUUAUUUUUAUACUAGUUUAUUUAUACUUUCAAGGAUAGUUUUAUUAAUUUUAAAAAUAUGGUUGAAUUAAGUAAUAAUAUGAUAAAAAUAAUAAAAAUAAUAAAAAUUUUAUCAAAUAAAUUAUUUCUUAAAAUCUAGUAUGCUUUCCAAUGUUAGCCAAAGGCCAACAAUAUCUCACACUAAUAUUUUCUUUGUUAGUCCAAAAUUAAAAAUUUCAAAUUAGGAUGUAACUUAUAGUUUGAGGGCUUAAUCAAAAUUUUUUUUAAAAAUUUAGAAAUCAAUUUAAAAUUUAAUCCAUAAUUUAAGGAAUUAACCUUUUGGUAAAUCCUAACAUAUUCAGAAGUUCCAUACUCAUUAAUAAAGAGUGAACCUGUUGGUCUAGGUUUUAUGUUAAUUUUAUCACGAAAUUUUAAUUUUAUUUCAUUUUAGUCCCGUGAGAAACGGUGCGCAUAAGGGCAAGGUAUAUUCUCCUAUUCGGUCCCUAUUCUUUUUAGCAUGUUAUAUUUUAAUUCUUAUUAGCCUUUUUUAUUUACAAUUUAUACUCCUUAAUUUUAUUCCGAUUUCAAUAUGAUCCUUAGUUUAUUUAACUUCAAUUUUUUUUACAAACUGUUUCAUUUAUUAUUUAUUUAUUUAUUUUCAAUUUUUAAUAAAAUGUUUUAUUGGUAGUCACCUUUUUAUUUAUUUAUUUACUUAUUGCUUCCUUUGUUUUUUAUUUUUAAUUGGCUUGCUUUUUGUAUUUUCCUUUUAUUGUGCAUUUUUUGGCGGCACUUACCACAAAGCGCCGCAAAUAGUAAGCAUUAGCGGCGUUUUGAAAUAAGUGCCACUAACUCUAAUAUACGUCAAGGCCAAACUCUGCGUUUUGGUUAGGAUACUUUGCGGCGCUUUCCACAAGCGCCGCUACUACUAUAGUUUAGCGGCGUUUUCCAAUAAGCGCCACUAAUUCUAAUAUACCUCAAGACCAAACUCCGCGUUUUGGUUAAGAUAUUUUGAGGCGCUUACAACCAAACGCUGCUAUUACUAUGCUUUAGUGGCGUUUUCCUUAAACGCCACUAAUUAUAAUAUACAUCAAGACCAAAACGCUGCGUUUUGGUUAAGAUGUUUUGCGGCAUUUAACGCUCAGCGCCGCUAAUACUAUACAUUAGCGGCGUUUUCUUUAUAAGCACCACUAAUUGUAAUAUACAUCAACACCAAACUCUGCGUUUUGGUUAACAUCUUUUGCGGCGCUUCCGCUAAGCGUCGCUAAUACUAUGCAUUACCGGCGUUUGUUCGUAAGCGCCACUAAUUCUAAUAUACAUCAAGACCAGAACACUGCGUGUUGGUCUUGAGAUUCUACGGCACUGUGUGGUAAACGCCACUAAUGAUGUUUUUUUUAUGGCGUUUGUUCGGGAAACGCCACUAUUCAUCCGACUUUUUGCGGCGUUUUAAAAGAAGCGCCGCUAAUGCUAGAUCUUUAGCGGCGUUGUAUUCUUUGCGCCACUAAUGCUCGAUUUUUAGCGGCGUUUGUAAUCCAAACGCCACAAAAUAUGCCGCUAAAAGCCUGUUCUGGUGUAGUGUUAGAGUUGAGCCCAUAAUUUGGGGUGUUGGAUUUAAUUAAACCCGUUGGUAGAUCAUAGCAUAUUUAUAAGUUGGGAUUUAGGAGUACUCAUUUAUUUUUGAUGAUUUUUAUGAGUGUUACAUAACAUCCUUUAUGUAUAUAUAUUUGAAGUUGUUUGAGUUUGAUAUUUAAUCAUUAGAAUUAAAAAUCCAAUUCUCUACUAAUAAAUCAAACAAUUGUUUUUUUUAGUGUUAUUUUUGAGCUCUUAUGUAUUUGUAUUUUACCUAUGUUUAUAGUGUUGACUGGUCAAAAUUAUAGGGUAUAUAAAAAACAUUAUUGUGUAAAAUUGUUUGAUUUAAAUUAAAAAAUAAAUAUGUCAAAUUAAAAUUUUAUUAUAGUAUAAUUAAUAUUUGAAAUCAUAAAUAUUAGAAAACUGUUUCAAAGCAAAAUAAUAAAAAAUUAUUAUAGUCUUUACAUAAUAUAAAUUUUAGAAUUUUUAUGAAUAUUUUAACUUUAAAAAUAUUUUAAUAUAUUUUUGUAAUUUUUGUUGAGAGAGAAUAUUAAUUUGUUAAUUUUUAAAAUUGACAAGAAUCAAAGGAGUAAAUAUAUCAAUCUGUUAUUUGAAUUAUUCGAAUUAUUUAAAUUAUAAAAUUCAACUCGAACCUCGAAUUAUAACUAUUUUUAAUAUUAUAAAAUAUUAAAAUAUUAAAAUUAAAUAAUAAUUAAAUAAUAAUAUAGAAAUGAAAAUAUUUCUCAAGCUUUAAGAAAGUUUGAAAGCUGAAAUUUAAAAAUGUAUCUUUCAAAAGUGAAAAAUUCUAUAUAUUCUAUCAUCAAAAUUUCCACUUAUUGUGUCCAUCAAUCUAUAAGGUGACUUGACUUGUACACAUUGGUUAAACAUUAUUUUUGUGCAAUAAAAACUUGGACAUUUGCAUGCAAUGCCAAAGACUUAAUACCUAAAUUAAAAGGCCUAUAAUAUUUCAUACUACAAUUUUUUCUGGUCCUAAAUUAAAGAUUUUAAAAUUUUCAAAUUAAAACCAUUAUGAUUUAAAAUUAUUAUAGUUUUUACAAAAUAUAAAUUUGAGAAUUUUUAUGAAUAUUUUGAUUUUAAAAAUUAUUUAAAAUUUUAUUUGAAAACUUUUGUUGAGAGAGAUCAAUUUGUUAAUUUUUAAAAUUGACAGGGACCAAAGGAGCAUGUACAUCAAUUUAUUGUUUGAAGUAUUUGAGUUAUUUAAAUUGUAAAAUUCAACUCGAAACUCGAAUUAUAAAAAUAUUUAUUAAUAUAAAACAUAAAACAUAAAAAUUAAAUAUUAAAAAAAUGACAUCAAUAAUAUAUUAUUCUCUAAUAAUAUAUUAAAACGCAAAUUAAAUGUGAAUUUAACAACUUAUUUCUAAUACUAACAACAAAUAAUUUAUGCUAUAAAUUAUUUAUUAUUAGUAUUAUUAUUAUUAUUAUCCCUUGCUGGAAAAGGUUAACCAAAAAGACUUAACUAAAGUGGUGGAACAUUAUUUUGAUGCAGUAUUGACUGGGCAAAAAGACUUGGAAAUUGCAUGCUAUGCCAAACAUGAAAACUACACAUUUGUGUAUAAAUAAGUUGUAUGCCAAGCACAAUCCUUCUUCACACCCAACAAACAUGAACACUCUUCAUUUCCUUAUUUCACUCUUCCUCUUCUCAUGCUUCCUUUCUCUUGUCUUGUCUUUUUCACCUCCUCAAUCUCAUCUCCCUAAGCAAUGCCUUGAUGACCAGAGAGCUCCUCUCCUGCAAUUGCAGCAUCAUCUUUACUAUGCCCCUCAUUUUACUUUCUCUUCCGAAUUUGACCUCUGGGAUGUCAACACUGAUUGUUGCUCUUGGGAAGGAGUCACUUGUGAUGCUUAUGGUCAUGUCGUUGGCAUUGAUCUUAGUUACAAAAACCUUUCAGGCAGCUUUCACCCCAUAUUCAAUCUCCAUCGUCUUCAACGCCUUAAUCUUGCUGGAAACAACUUUAAUACCACUCUGUUUUCCUAUGGGUUUGAUAAACUCCAAAAUCUAACUCAUCUCAACCUUUCAAGCUCAUGUUUCCAUGGCCAAAUUCCAAUGAACAUCUCACACCUAACAAGGUUAGUCUCUCUGAACCUAUCUUAUCAAGAUGAUUGCUAUUGGAGAAAUGGUUACGAUUAUAACUCAGCUACUUUAAAAUUGGAGAAACCAAACUUCAAGACAUUUAUCAAGAAUUUGAAGUUUCUCACGGAGCUUUAUUUGGAUGGUGUCGACAUUUCAACUCAAAGUACUAAAUGGUGUGAAACCACAUCUCUUGUACUUCCAAACCUGCAUGUGUUGAGUCUGUCAAGCUGUGGUUUGAAAGGUCCAUUAUGUUCUUCACUCUCAAGACUCUCUUUUCUUUCCAAACUUAUCCUUGAUUGGAACCCAAUCUCUUAUUUACCUCCCAAUUUCUUGGAAAUUUCCUCUCGUUUGGUUUCUCUCAGUUUGAGGAACUGCAAUUUGAGUGGCCAUUUUCCAACUGAAAAUCUCUUAUCGCCAAAAAUGCAAAGCAUUGACAUUUCAGAUAAUGACCAACUUAUGGGUCAGUUGCCAGAAUUUUCAUCAAACAAUUCUUUACAGAGUUUGUCGCUUUCUUAUACAAAUUUCAGUGAAAAACUACCCCAAUCAAUUGGUAACCUCAAGUUCCUGACAAAUUUAGAGCUUGAUGAUUGCAAUUUUUUUGGACCCAUUCCAUCGUCAAUUGCAAAUCUUAGUCACCUGGUCAACCUAUAUCUAGGAGGGAACAAGCUUUCUGGAUCAAUACAUUCUUCUUUAUUUACUCUUCCAUCGUUGAAGAUCUUGUAUCUUGGAGAAAAUCAAUUGGUUGGGAAAAUUGAUGAGUUCCCCAAUGCAUCUUCUUCUUUGAUUCAAGAAUUAUAUAUAGGCAAUAAUUAUUUAAAAGGAACAAUCCCAAAAUCAAUCCUUCAACUUCCAAGGCUUGAAUGGCUUUAUAUCCGAGACAAUAGCUUCAGUUCCAUGAAGCUUGACAUGUUUGUCCAACUCAAGAACUUAAAGGGUCUCUACUUAUCCAACGUAAGCUUGUUAAUUGACAGCGACAACGGAAGUCUUACUUUUCCCCAAUUAGAGAGCCUAGGGCUAAAGUCAUGCAACCUUACUGAAUUUCCAGAAUUCAUUAAAAGGCAAGACAAGUUGGUUGACUUAUAUCUUUCUAGCAAUCAUAUCCAUGGUGUUGUGCCCAAUUUGUUGUGGAAGAGCAGUCUUUCAUGGGUAGACCUUUCUUUCAAUAUGAUUGAUUUUCCAAAACAGCUUCCCUUAAAUGAUGCUAACUUCUCAUUUCCAAUGUUGAAAGUAUUGCAUUUGAGGUCUUGUAACAUAAGUGCGUUUCCAGAGUUCAUCAAAACUGUUGAAAGCUGGACUGCAAUGCAACAUGGAGCCAAAAGCUUGCUACUAUCGAGACCAGCAGCUAUCGAGCUCAGCUCGUUUUGCUUGGUGCGCACGAAUGGUUUUUGAACUGAAUGAAGCAACCAACUUUGCUGUUUUGUUUUGAUGUAAUUUGAUUCAGUUCAACUUUAGUUUGUUUGUAAUGCUAGUUAAACUUAAGUUAGUGACAUGAUCUUUUGAUGUAAUGGCUGAUUGGUCAGCUAUGUUUGAUUAUUUUUGGCUAGUGAUUAGGUUUGUAUUAGUUGGGGCAGUUAAAUACAUUAGGUAACUGUCAAUGUACAAUUGUAACUCUUUUAUAUAUUUCAAGUUGAAUGAAAAAUGAGGUAUGUUCAGUCACAAACAUUGCUGAGUAUUUUGAUUUUUGAUGCUUUGCUUGCCUUGAUUCUUCUUGCUUCAGUCUUGCAAACAUUGAGUUGCAAAUUUGCUUUGAUGUUUGCUGCUGUCAUUGUUCCAACAAAUGGUAUCAUGAGCCCGAGUCUUUGAGGGGCCUUUGUAUGCAAUCUGUUGUGUUCGAAACAAAACCAACAGCAAGUUCAAAAUUUGGUAAGAUUGAAGCAUUUAAAAUCAGUUCAGCAGAAUGAGUUUCACUCCACCACCUCCACCAGUGUUCACUGGAGAAAACUAUCACAUUUGGAUAGUUAAAAUGAAGACUUAUCUCUAGGCACAUGAUCUUUGGAGUGUGAUCGAGAAUGAUGCUGAACCACCUCCAUUGAGAGCCAAUCCCACCAUUGCACAGAUGAGGCAACAUACUGAGGAGCGAGCCAAGAAGCAUAAGGCUAUGGCCUGCUUGCAAAAUGGAGUCUCUGAUGUGAUAUUUACUCGCAUCAUGGCCUGUGACUCACCUAAGCAGGCUUGGGAGAAGCUGAAGGAGGAGUUCAUGGGGACUGAUAAGACAAGGCAACAGCAAGUAAUCAACCUCAGGAGAGACUUUGAAAACUUGAGGAUGAAGGAGUCUGAGACCAUCAAGCAGUACUCAGACAGGAUAAUGGCCAUUGUCAACAGCAUUAGGCUCCUGGGAGUGGACUUCACAGAGAGCAGAGUUGUUGAAAAGGUUAUUACAACUCUUCCUGAGAAAUUUGAGUCUAAAAUCUCUUCACUUGAGGACUCGAGGGACUUAUCAGCCAUUUCAUUGUCUGAGCUGAUAAAUUCCCUAUAUGCACUUGAGCAAAGGAGGGCAAAUAGGCAGGAGGAGAAUCCUGAAGCUGCUUUCCAGGCUAAAGCCAGUGAAGGCUCGAGUGUGAGUGCAAAAGGCAAGAAGCCUUGGCACAAUAGAAGGGUCAAGUCAGGAAGAGAUGAAGCAAAAAGGGUGUUCCCACCAUGUGUUCAUUGCAAGAAGACAACACAUUCAGAAAAGUAUUGCUGGUUUAGGCCAGAUAUUCAGUGUAGAAAAUGCAAACAGUUUGGCCAUGUGGAGAAGGUGUGCAAGGGCAAACCAAGGGAGGCUACUCUGCAACAAGCUAGACCUGCUGAGGACAUUCAAGCUCAGGAGGAGCAAGUGUUCACAGCAACUUGUUUUGUUGGCACAACCAAGGCCAGCAAUGAUUGGCUACUAGACAGUGGCUGCUCACACCAUAUGGCAGCAGAUGAGAAACUGUUCAAAAGCCUAGACAGAAGCUUCCACUCGAGGAUUAGAAUUGGAGAUGGUAGGCUGAUUGAGGCUAAAGGCAAGGGCAGUGUGUUGAUUAGCACUGGUUCAGGUAACAAGCUGAUCUCAGAUGUGUUUUUUGUACCUGAAUUAGACCAGAAUUUGCUUAGUGUGGGCCAAUUAGUUGAAAAGGGCUAUACAUUGGUUUUUAAGGAUGGUUGCUGUAUUGUUCAAGACAUGAAUGGUCUGGAGUUAGUCACAGUCUCUAUGACUGAUAGGUGCUUCAUGCUGGAUGUUAGCCAAAUAGAAAGAAAGGCAUACACCAGCCUUGUUGAAAGCACUGACUUGUGGCAUAGGAGACUAGGCCAUGCAAAUUUUAGAUCUAUUGAUCUAUUACAUAGGCUGAAUCUGGUUGAUGACAUUUCAAAAAUUGAAGCUAGUGGGAAUGUUUGUGAGGUUUGUCAGCUUGGUAAGCAGGCUAGACUGCCUUUUCCUGCUGACAGUGCUUGGAGAGCUCAAGACAAGCUCGAAUUGGUGCACUCUGAUGUUUGUGGCCCUAUGAGAACACCUUCAAUCAGUGAGAACAGGUACUUUGCCUUGUUUAUAGAUGAUUUAACAAGGUUAUGCUGGGUCUAUUUCUUGAAGCAAAAGUCAGAAGUGUUUGAAGCCUUCUGUAAAUUCAAGGCUUAUGCUGAAAAUCAGUCAGGCUGCAAAAUUAGAGCCUUGAGGACUGAUAAUGGAUCUGAAUAUGUGUCUGAGAGAUUUCAGAAGCUUUGUGACAAUGCUGGGAUUCACCAUCAGCUCACAACAGUCUAUUCUCCUCAACAGAAUGGAGUCUGUGAGAGAAAGAAUAGGACUGUACUGAACAUGGCCAGGUGCCUCUUGUUUCAAGGCAAGCUUCCAAGUCAGUUUUGGGCUGAGGCAGUCAACACCUCAGUGUAUCUGCUCAACAGACUGCCAACUAGAGCAGUCAAGGAUAAGACUCCUUUUGAGGCUUGGCACGGAGUCAAACCUGUGAUAACACACUUAAAAGUGUUUGGCUGUGUAUGUUAUGCACUUAUUCCAGUGGAGAAAAGGACCAAGCUUGAGAGUAGAGCAACUCCAGGAAUCUUUGUUGGCUACAGCAGCAAUAAGAAGGGCUAUAGAGUGUAUGAUCCUACAGCAAAGAAGGUUUUAGUCAGCAGGGAUGUUAAGUUUGAUGAGGAAAAGGUGUGGAAUUGGAAUGGUGUUGUGGCUAACUUGUCUGAAUUGGACCAGUUAGACUUGGUUGAACCUGCAGAAGAAGGACCAAGUAAUGAUGCUGUCGAUGAUAUACCAGUGAGGGGCACCAGAACUUUGGUUGAUGUUUAUCAGAGGUGCAAUGUUGCUGUGAUUGAGCCCUCAGACUUUGAAGAGGCUGCUAAAAACAGAAGCUGGAUGAAAGCUAUGGAAGCUGAGUUGGAAAUGAUCAACAAAAAUCAGACUUGGGAGUUGGUGAGCAGACCAGAACACAAGAGGGUCAUAGGAGUUAAAUGGGUGUAUCGGGCCAAGUACAAUGCUGAUGGCUCACUGAACAAGCACAAGGCCAGGCUUGUGGUGAAGGGCUACAGUCAGCAGUAUGGUGUUGACUACCUAGAAACUUUUGCUCCAGUGGCAAGACUGGAUACAAUUAAGCUACUGUUUGCUUUAGCAGCUCAGAAGCAGUGGAGAGUUCACCAAUUGGAUGUCAAAUCAGCAUUCCUGAAUGGUUUUCUCAAGGAGGAGAUCUUUAUCGAGCAACCUGAAGGUUUUGAAUUUGUUGGACAUGAAGACAAAGUGUAUAAGUUGAGAAAGGCCCUCUAUGGCCUGAAACAGGCACCAAGGGCCUGGUAUGACAGAGUUGAUGCCUACCUGACCAAACUUGGAUUUGCAAAGAGCCUUAGUGAGCCUACUCUAUAUGUUAAAAAGUCAGAACAUGAAACCUUGCUGAUAGUCUCCUUGUAUGUGGAUGAUUUGCUUGUGACAGGGAGCAAAAUCGAGCUCAUUGAUCAGUUCAAGGUCCAAAUGCAGCAAGUGUUUGAGAUGACAGAUUUGAGGAUCAUGACUUACUUCCUUGGCAUGGAAGUGCACCAAUCUGAUCGAGGUAUCUUCAUCAGCCAACACUCAUUUGCUUUGAAGAUUCUAGACAAAUUUUGCAUGCAUAACUGUAAAGCAGUCAGCACACCUGUGGCUCAAGGAGAAAAGCUGACUAGCAGUGGUGAUCAGCAGAGGGUUGAUGAGAGGCACUAUCGAAGCCUGGUUGGUUGUCUGUUGUAUCUAACAGCAACCAGGCCAGAUAUCAUGUUUGGUGUCAGCCUGUUAUCAAGAUUUAUGCAUUGUUGCAAUGAGGCACAUUUGAAGGCAGCAAAGAGGAUCCUUAGAUACAUCAAGGGCACUGCUAGUUUUGGUGUAAUGUUUGAAAGUCAGAACCAACUGAAAUUAGAAGGCUACUCUGACAGCGACUGGGCAGGAUCUCUCGAUGACAUGAAGAGUACCUCUGGAUACUUCUUCACACUUGGAUCGGGUAUGUUUUGCUGGAGUUCUAAGAAGCAACAAACUGUUGCUCAGUCCACAGCUGAAGCAGAGUACAUUGCUGCAGCAGGAGCAGUUAAUCAGGCCAUUUGGCUAAGAAAGCUGCUUUAUGACCUUAAUGAAACUCAAGAUGAAGCAACUGAAAUCUGGGUGGACAAUCAGUCUGCAGUUGCAAUAGCCAAGAACCCUGUGUUCCAUGGCAAGACUAAGCACUUUAAGAUCAAAUUGCAUUUUGUUAGAGAGGCUGAACAAGCAAAGGAAGUCAGCCUUGUGAAUUGCAGCUCAGGAGCACAAUUGGCUGACAUAAUGACCAAGCCCUUAGGGGCUGCUCGAUUUGAAUCUUUGAGAAGUGCAAUUGGAAUGUGUUGCAUACAGUCCAAGGAGGAGUGUUGAAAGCUGGACUGCAAUGCAACAUGGAGCCAAAAGCUUGCUACUAUCGAGACCAGCAGCUAUCGAGCUCAGCUCGUUUUGCUUGGUGCGCACGAAUGGUUUUUGAACUGAAUGAAGCAACCAACUUUGCUGUUUUGUUUUGAUGUAAUUUGAUUCAGUUCAACUUUAGUUUGUUUGUAAUGCUAGUUAAACUUAAGUUAGUGACAUGAUCUUUUGAUGUAAUGGCUGAUUGGUCAGCUAUGUUUGAUUAUUUUUGGCUAGUGAUUAGGUUUGUAUUAGUUGGGGCAGUUAAAUACAUUAGGUAACUGUCAAUGUACAAUUGUAACUCUUUUAUAUAUUUCAAGUUGAAUGAAAAAUGAGGUAUGUUCAGUCACAAACAUUGCUGAGUAUUUUGAUUUUUGAUGCUUUGCUUGCCUUGAUUCUUCUUGCUUCAGUCUUGCAAACAUUGAGUUGCAAAUUUGCUUUGAUGUUUGCUGCUGUCAUUGUUCCAACAAAAUCACAGUUUGACAGACUCAACACACGCAGGUUGGAAAGUACAAGAGAUGUGGUUUCACACCAUUUAGCACUUUGAGUAGAAAUGUCCACACUAUCCAAAUAAAGCUAUGUGAGAAACCUCAAAUUCUUGAUUAAUGUCUUGAAGUUUGGAUUCUCUAAUUUAAGAGGCUGUUGAAGUUCGUAAGGCAAUGAAAAACGGUUGUAGAAGCCAGGGUAGAGAACUUUGUAAUAUCUCAAAUAACAAGAAUCUUGAUUGGACAGAUCAAGAGAGACUAACCUUUUUAGGAAUGAGAUCUCCACUGGAAUUUGGCCAUGGAAACAUGAGCUUGAAAGGUUGAGAUGAGUUAGAUUUUGGAGUUUAUCAAACCCAUAGGAAAACAGAGUGGUAUUAAAGUUGUUUCCAGCAAGAUUAAGGCGUUGAAGACGAUGGAGAUUGAAUAUGAGGUGAAAGCUGCCUGAAAGGUUUUUGUAACUAAGAUUAAUGCCAACGACAUGACCAUAAGCAUCACAAGUGACUCCUUCCCAAGAGCAGCAAUCAGUGUUGGGGUGCCAAAGCUCAAAUUUGGAAGAGAAAGUAAAAUGAGGGGCAUAGAAAAGAUGAUGUUGCAAUUGCAGCAGAGGAGAUCUCUGGUCAUCAAGGCAUUGCAUUGGGAGAUGAGUUUGAGGAGGUGAAAAAGACAAGAGAAGAGGAAGGAAGCAUGAGAAGAGAAAGAGUGAAGAAAUAAGGGAAUGAAGAGUGUUCAUGUUGGGUGGGUGUGAAGGACGAUUGUGCUUGGCAUACAACUUAUUUAUGAGUGAUUGGCAUUGCAUGCAAUUUCUGAGUCAUUUUGCCAAAUCAAGACUCCAUCAAAAUACUGUUCCACCAAUUUAGUUAAGUCUUUUUGGUCAAUUUUUUCCAACAUAGGAUAAUAAUUUAUUAUUUAAAGCUGUUAGUGAUGAUGCAUAAAUUAUUUAUUGUUAGUAUUAGAGAUAAGUUGUUAAAUUCACACUUAAUUUACUUUAUGUCUUUCCUUUUUGUUAAUUUUAAUUUUGAAGAAUGAGAUUUUAAUAUUUUAUGGAUCUCAUUAAAUUAUUAAUGCCAAGGUUGUAGUUUUCUUGCCCACUCCUUACUCUAUAUAAAUAAUCAUCUAAAUCUAAGUUAUUAAAAAAGACUAAAUUAUAGCACUUUAAACCCUAUUAGAACCAUUACUACGCAUAGGAUGAGCAAAUAUGAUAAUUCAACUGAUAUUUUGAGUUUAAAUUAUAUAUUUUAGGUAUCGACUUUUUAGCACAAAAAAUCCAUGUUACAAAUAUUUUAACUUUAAUUUAUUUUAAACUCAGGUAAAUUUUAUCAUUUUUAUGUUAUAUAUAAUUAUUUCUACAACAUUUAAUUUUUUUUUAAAUAAAAAAAUUACAAUUUAAUUUUUUAAGUAAACUAUGUUAUAGCACCAAAAAUAUAAAUUUUAACUUAUAAUAUAAAAUCAAUUUUUUAAGAUGAAAAGAUCACUUUUGAAGGGACAUGGACGGAAGCGUCAGUCCUGUAGUACGGAGAAACGAUAAAUAUUUGUUGAGAAGGCUAAAUGCGGAUUCUAAGCCUCAUGAGCCCUUUUUGGGAAUCUCGACAACAUUUGGCUAAAUGAAUUUAAUGGCUCAUGCUUUUUGGGGAAAAAUAAAUAAACUUAAUAAAAAUGAAAUUUUAUUGAAUAAAUGAAAGAAACAAAUGCUAAAGCUUUUUGGGAGAGAGAGCUUUUACAGAAAAGAUGAGUUAAAUCUGUGUCACUCCAUCCCCUAUUUAUAGUACUCAAAAGACCUAGUUUAUUCCUUUCUAAAUUCUAAAAGAUAAAUAAAGAUAAAAGCUAGAAUUAAAUCUAAAUAAUAAUCUUAACAAUAAUCCUAAUAUAAUUAAAAUUCAAAUAGAGUCUUGUGUUUAUAAAAUCUCUUCUUUGAACUAUUGCCCCCAAGUCUUCCACACUUUGCAUUUUCGGCACCAUUUCUUUCCUAUUUUGCAUCCUGACCCAUUUUAUCUUCAAAUUCAUGAUUUUUGCCCCUAAAUUUUAUUUUUCCUUCAAUUUAGUCCCUACAAUAUAAAAACCAUAAAUAGCUCAAUUUAGUAGGAUCAUACUCAAAAUAAAAUAUAUAAGUAAUUAAUACAUAAAGAUAUGUCAUUCCAGAGUAUUAUCAACAACGUUCAACCAUUGUGUACAAAUCAAGUCACAUUAUAAAGACAAAAUUAUAGUAAGUUUCUUAGUUGGAUGAGUGGAAAUUUUGAUGAUACAAUAUAUACAACUUUUCACUUUUGAAAGAAACAUUUUUAAAUUUCGGCUUUCAAACUUUCUUAGACUGUAUUUGGAGGAGAAAUUUGGAGAAAAAAUUUCAUUUCUAUAUUAUUAUUUAAUUUUAAUAUUUCUUAUGUUUUAUAUUAUUAAAAAUAUUUAUAAUUUAAUUUCGAGUUGUAUUUUACAAUUUAAAUAACUCGAAUAAUUCAAACAAAAAAUUGGUGUACAUGCUCCUUUGGUCCUUGUCAAUUUUAAAAUUUAACAACUUGAUCUCUCUCAACCAAAAUUACAAAAUAAUUUAAAAUAAUUUUCAAAAUAUUCAAAAUAAUUUUUAAAAUUCAAAAUAUUCAUAAAAAUUCCAAAAUUUUAUAUUUUUAAAAAUUAAAAUAUUUUUUUUUAUUUUUCAUUUUUGGGGGAGAUGAGAUUGAGAAAGAGAGGAUGAGAAGAGAAAGAAGAAAGGUAGAAAAGGUGAAACAAGGAAAUGGAGUCUCAUGUUGGUUGGGUAUGAAGAAAGAUUAUUUUCAUGCAACAUUUUAUACAUAAAUUUGUAGUUUCCAUAAAACAUUAUCUUUUUACUUAAUAAUUAAUUCCAAUGCAUAUCAUUAUUUACAAAAGUAAAGGUAAUAUGGAAAUUUUUUGAAAUAUUUUAAUUAAAUCCUUAAGUUAAUUAUGAUGAUUCAAUGUGCAAACUAUUUAAAUUUUGGUUAAAAUAUGUUGUUAGUUCUUGUAUUUUGGUCAAAUUUAAGAUUUAGUUCAUAUAUUUAAAAAGUUAAAAAUCUCAGUGCAAUCAUUAAAUCGCAAGUAUUUUUUGUAAAACUUGUCAACUUGAAAUUUUGAUUAAUGUGUCAUCUUAUGGCGUGACAUAUGAUUGAUGAAAAUAAACAUAUUAAACUGAUAAAUUUUGACAAAAACUAUCAACGAUGAUAAUGGCUUGAUUAUGAUUUUUAAAUUGAAAAAGUAGAAGAAUUGAAUUUUUAACUUUUAAAGUAUAGGGAUCAAAUAUUAAAAUUAAAAAUUAAAAAAAUAUGUUAAUUUUUUAAAAAAAUACAUAAAAUUGGAGUAAAAUGUUUGACAGGCGUGUGGAAAUAUUGCAGCCUAUUGCCCUAUUGUUGCUUUAUGCAAUUAAUCUUUUAUUGGCCAAAGUAAUUCCAAUUUCCAAUUAUAUAAUGGUAACCACUAAAAGCAAAAGUAGUGGGAAACAUCCACCAAAUCAACAAAGAGAAACUGCAAAAUCAUUGAUUUCAAACCCAUUUAAUUUCCAUGAAUCUUCCCCAUAUAUUAAAGUCAUCCUAAAUUACAAUUUUAAAAUUUUUCAUACUCUCUUCUUAGUCUUCAUAUCAAUUUCUUCAUGUUUCACACUUAUUUUGCUUUACCAAUGUCUUUUUUGUUUUUCCAUUUGUUAAUUCCAAUUUUGAGCAUGAUAUUUGAUUGGAAUUUGUUGGGUUGUUUUCUAGUCACCAUCAGCCCGACUUUAGGGUAGUUUGGGAAUGUGGCCGUUUAGGGCUCUAAAAAUUUCUUUUUUUGAUACAAUGCCUAAAACUACCCAGUCUCUCCCCAAUCCAUAAAUAGGAGGAUAAUGCACUUCGGCGUACUCGAACCCACGUCCUUCUGUUAAAAUAAAAAUUUAAGUAAAAUUAUAAAACUAAUCCCUACAAUUUUUGUUUUGAAUGAAUUUAAUUCUUUUGGCUUUUAUUUCUACCGGGGAUAGUUUCGUUGAAGUAAAUGAUUUCUUCUCUUAGCUAAGUAAUUUUCUCUCGCAUUAUGAGUACUUCAUAUUUGCUUCUUUAAAUUCAAACCAGAGUCAUAUCACAGCAAAGGAUGAUGAUGAAGCUAUUAGUCUUAAUGGAUGAAUUAUUUAUUCUUAGUCUUAGCAUUAAGGUUUUCAAUUCACAUUUAAUUUGCUUUUGCAUCUUCAAUUUUUUAUAUAUAAUUUUUUUUCAAUUCUAAUUUUGAAAUAUGAGAUUUUUUUGGUCUUAGUGUUCUUAUUGAUGCCAAUAUUUUAGUCUUUCUGUCUCAUCCUUAUUCUAUAUAUAUAUGAAAAUUUUCUUAUAUCUAAAUUAUUAAAAAGACAAAAUAGUAGCAAUAAUAACAUAAAACCUUGUUGGAGUCAUCACCACGCAGAGAAUGAACUGUGUCACCACUCCUGCUGGUUAAAUUAAGGAAUUGCAAGGCUGUAUGAUCCACAGGAAAGACAACCCAUGGUUGCACAUUAUUCAGGUCCCAUGUCUGCAACUAUGGCUCGACCAUGAUUAGCUAAAGAUAAUUCAACCACACCCUCUCCUAUAACCACAUUAAAAAUAGUUACAUUGAUGAUAAAGUCCUAUAAACCUGAAAUUUUUUAUAGUAAAAUCAUUCUAUUCUUAAGAUUUAUGAUCAUAGACUUAACCAUAAAACUAAAAAAUUUUUGCCAACGCUAUGCUUUCUCAACAUCUUGUAAGUUCUUGGACGAUGUGAAUCUACCAACACCAAGCUAUACCAUGCUCAGGGGCUGCAUAAAUUGCAAGAUAUAGAAGUAAAUAAGUUAUAUACUCCUGGUAAAAUAUAGAGGGAAAAUUACAAACUAGUGGAUUAAUCUUGUUAAGAUCAUUGUCAAGAUUCUUAACAGUGUCUCACAUGCCAGUGAGGUCAACUGCUGGUGGCACUCCAGUGUAAUUCUAAGAUAAUAAGAUUUCAUGCAAAUUACAUUUAGAGAACAUGAGCCACCUUAAACAAGAUGCAGACUUGCUUCGGUGAUAAGCCUUUGCACCUUAUGCAUAUCCAAUCUGUACUUUAUGUUGGCAAUGCACGUUUUCUUUUCCAUAGAAUAGAUAACAAACUGCAAUCAACACGCCUUACUGUCUUCUUAGACCAUGAGCCUGAAAAUUAGAACAUGAAGCUUCUCAUUUAUCUACCAACAAGUAUGUCUUUCAUAUGCUUAAACUUAAUUCAAGCAUGAUUAAAGAAGAUGUCAAGGAAAAGAUAAUUAGUUAGAAACUUUUACCAUUGUUUUCAAAGAUAAAGUUAACGAUCUUUGCUUGAGCUUGUCCUGUUUCAAAGAGGCACAUCUAGCAGUGGUGUCUCUUUGCAGAAUCACUCUGUUAAAUGUGGCUUUCAUCAGCAUCAACUCAUCAUAUUAUCUUCCAAGCUGCACAAAAAUAAUUUGAAAAUAAAAUUCUGAACUAAAGAGUAAAUUCAUAUUAAAGAAGGCUUGGAAAAGCCAUGAUCCUUGUUUAUAAUAUAGCAUUAUUGGCAUGAAAGUUCAAUGCUAGAGACAAAUUACGUACCCCUAAUGGCUCUGAAUUGAAGCAAAAAAGAACCUCACAAGGGAGUUGUUGUUCCAAUAGGGUCGGAAGCGUGUAAAUUAUUGUACUAAAAAAUCACACAAAGUUCAAUUCCCAGGGAAGAGAGGUGGAUCACAAGGAUCUCUUAAAUACCAAGUCUUUCCUUAGACAGAAUAUCCCUUCUAUAGUAAUUUAAUAGCACAAUUAAAUACUACUAUUAUACCCUCAAAUAUUGAAAGAAAAAUAGGACAAGAAAAAACACAAGAGUUUUAACGAGGUUCGGUAAAUUAUACCUACGUCCUCGAGCACUAACACCAGAUGAUAACUUUACUAUCUUCAAAGUAUUACAAACAAAUAGAAUUCCUUAAGAAUUCUCAAAUGAGAGAAGAGAGAAAACUAAGAGAGAAAGAUUGGUUGGGAUGAAUUGAAAUGAGAAAUGAGAAGGCCUAUUUAUAGUUGAGGUUUAAGGACCAAACAAUAAAUAGCCCAUUAUCUCAAGGACCAAAAAAAAAUUAUCCCAUGCCACUUUUUCAAAGUCAACUUUAGGGUGCUAAACUUGCACCACUUUGUAUUGUUUGCCAUUAAUGUUGUCUCCCAUUAAUGUUAACAGGAGUUUCUUGAUAUUAGAUUUUGCAUAUCAAGUAUGCUGCUCAUGUUCAACUCACAAUAUUCAUAGAGCAUUCCAAAACUCAUCCUUACCAUAAAUGAGUUCGAUUAAAUUAAAGAAGAUUGAUAGUCAAGACAUUGGGGAGUUUUGCCCCUGCUACAAAAUCGAGAGAGAAAAAAAAAACAAUUUCAGUAUCUGGAUUUAAGAAUUAUGGAUUAGUUGCUCUAACAGAGGAAUGCUUCCUAGGAAAUAAGUUAUAGAAAGGAUUUACAUGAAUCGUAUAGAAGUGAGUAUAUGUAAGUGCAUCAUCACAAACAGCCAAGGACCCUUUUGUCGCUUCUUUCAUUGCUCUUUUCGAAGAGUCUUUUGGAGUUGCAAACCUAAUCCGGCAUUGCGAAAUGAUAAAAUGAAUGUCAAUGCUACAAGCCUACGACUACAAAUACCAUAUGAUAGUGAAGUGUGUCAAGGGACAAAAAAUAAGCUUAGGAAAUUCAGAAUUAGUUUGUAACAUCAAUCUUUUCAAAAUAUAAGCCAACGACUACAAAUACCAUAAGAUUUUGAAUAAUUUGUGAAAGAUAAUGGUUCUUGCAGUUUUUUAAUUUUAGUUAUUAAUAUUUUUAUCACUUUUCAAAGAUAAAUUAAACAAGUGCUUUAGGUUGUUUGCCAACUCUGGAAAGCACACCACAUUGUAAUUAAGACAUCAUUUCGAAUGCCAAAUUGGAUUGAGUCCCUUACUUUAUAUCCACUACUCUGCAUUCGCAUUCAAAUAUAAACUGGCUUUUUAUUGGUUGAAUUGGAUUCGAUAUAUAAACAAUCAAUUUUUUCUUGAAAAAAUCAUUUAAUUGAACAUUGUAAGUAUUAGUUAACUCAACAGUGUCCGAUUAAUUAUCUGAUUUUGUAUUGAAAAUCAUAUAAUAAACAUAUCGUUGUUAAAUAGAUGGGUUUGGAUUUAUUUUUUUCAUUAUCCAAUCCAAGUGUUCUAAUUGAUGCCAAUGCCAAUGUUUCGGACGCUUAAAAUAUUUGGGUUUAGAUUUUUUUUUUCAUGUAUUUGAUGCUUAAAAUAUUUUAGAUGCGGGCCGUCUCGAUUUUAUAUCAUAAUUGUUUAUAUAUAAUUUAAAUUUUUAAAAUGUAAAAGUGUACCAUUAAAAUCUUUUAAUUAAACUUUGGUAUAGCACCCAAAAAUAUAUUAACUUAUAUGUGAAAUCAAUUUACCAAUAAGCAUUUUAGUCCUAAUUUAUUAAUGAGUAUGCAACUUAUGAAUAUGUUAGGAUUUAUCAAAGGGUUAAUUCACUUGAUGUCCCUAAACUAUGGAUUAUAUGUUAAAUUGAACUCUAAACUUCAAAAAAAUAUAAAGCCCAACACAUGAUUGAUAAAAUAUAAAGCUAAUGUCUCUUUGGAAAAGCAAAGGGUGGAAGUAGCAGCGUAUGCGUCUUUUUACACAAUCAGCCCAAUGUCCAUCAGAUUAGGCUUUCAUCAGCAUCAAGCCAUCAAAUCUCCUCAGCUGUUAGGAUCAUUGUUAGGAUCACUGCCUAGAUUCUUCAUGUACCUCAUAACUGUUCAUUCCAUGUCUUGGAUCAAGUACCUAUGCACUUCAACAAGGUAAAUUUGUCAUUGCUACAAGAACAAAUACAAUAUGAUAUGAUAGUGAACUUUGUCAAUAUAUAUUAAGAGAAAAAAUGCUUGUAGUCAUUGUCGAAACCUUUUUGGAAUAAAAUAUAACACACUAAAAAUGAUAGGGACCGAAUAUGAAAAUAUCCCUUGUCCUUAUGCGCACCGUUUCUCAAGGACUAAAAUGAAAUAAAAUUAAAAUUUUGUGGUAAAAAUAACAUAAAACCCAGACCAACAGGUCCACCCUUUACAUCCAAAUGAGCAUUUUGAGCACUAAUUUAUUAAUGAGUAUGGAACUUAUGAAUAUGUUAGGAUUUACCAAAGGGAUAAUUCCUUAAAUUAUGGAUUAAAUUUUAAAUUGAUUUUUAAAUUUUAAAAAAAAUUAAUUAAGUCCUCAUACUAUAAAUCACAUUCUCAUUUGAAAUUUUUAAUUUUGGACUAAAAAAAGAGAAUAUUAGUGUGAGAUAUUGUUGGCCUUUGGCUAACAUUGGAAAGCAUACUAGAUUAAUUUUAAGACAUAAUUUAUUUCAUUAAAUUUUAAUUAUUUUUAUUUUUAUCAUAUUAUUACUUAAUUCAACAAUAUUUUUUAAAUUAAUUUAAUUUUUUAAAUUAAUAAACUAUCAUUGAAAAGAUAAUUAAUUAAACCACUUAUUUUAUUAUUUGAAAGGUCGAGAAAUUGUAAAUUUUUUUGACUCUUUAAGAACUCUAGAAACGCACUUAUGUUACAGGAUCCCAGAUACAAUCGCCUCAACAUUGGGAAAGAGAAGUUUGCAUCACUUAAGGGAAGUUGUUUUGGAAAAUCAAUCAUAUUGAAAGAAAGGUAUACCUGUGAAAGAGUGCUCUUCCACAACCAAUUAGGCACAACACCAUGGAUAUGGUUGUUAGAAAGAUCCAGAGAAAUCAACUUGUCUUGUGUUUUGAUGAAUUCUGGAAAUUCAGUAAGGUUGCAUGAACUUAGCCUUGGGCUUUCUAAUAGGGGAAAACUAAGACUUAUGUUGUCACUUUCAAUUAAGAAGCUUAUAUGUUUGCUUUCAAUUUAAAACCAUUUAUUAUGUUGAUUAAAUCAUAGUAUUAAUUGUUAUUCAAAUUUAAAAUAAAGAAAUUAUCUUAAAUUUAAAAAGUAAAGUAGUUAAUUGAUUCCAAAAGUCUAGUCCAUUAUUUAUAAAACAAAAAAAAAAUAUUUCUCAAGGUAUCUAGUCAGUAAGUAAAUAUUUGCAUUUUGUAAGCCCAUUUAAAGAGUAGAUGCCACGAGUUUUAAAGUUGCUUCAUACUUAAGGCGAGGAUCAAACCCUCGACAUUACUAUAAAUCAUAUUAAUUAUGAUAUUUUCGUCAUUUUGCUUCAUCUUUAUUCUGUAUGAAUAAUAUUCCAGUAUUUCAAUUGAUUUGCCUCAAACUAUGAAUCAGAUCUAAAUUAGUAUCUAAACUUUAAACUAUUCUAAUUAAGUGUUGAAACUAUGAUUAAUAGUUUGAGAGAUUAGUCAUGCAAGCAAAUGUUCAAGUCUUUUGCCUCCUCAUUACUGCAUGAGUUGAACUACUUCGUUUAUAUCAAGUCAUUAAAAAGCAAAUAUAAAUAUUAUUGUCCUUAAUGCAUGCAGAUGCAAUUGUUGAGGUCCUUUUGCGAUAUCAGUAAUGCAUGAAAAUUAUGAUCAACCACUUUGUUGAAGUCUUAUUCUCCUUAUUAAUGCUAAUGUUUCAGUCUUUUUAAGUCUAAGCAUUAUUAUUAAAGUCCAAAACAAAUAAUCAUAUGUUGAAAUAUGUUCAAUAUUUAAAUUUAGUACAUAAAAAUUUAAAAGAAAUCAAAUAAUAGAUUAGAUAUUAAAAUUUGUUGAGUCAAGUUUUUGGAUAUUGCUUAUAGGAAGUAGUCACUUCUAUAACCCUCGCAACAAUUUUAUACUCAUCAUAUUUGAUGUUCGCGAUUUAUUGAUAUAAAAUUUUUAGACAUUAAAUGGUGUUAUUAUUCUAAAUAUAUGCAAGCUCGACUUUGAAAUCCAACUUAUUUUAAACAUCUUCCCUUUUUUGUUGUGGAGAAUGGACCGUGAUUACAUUGAAAAUACCAUUGAAGAAUGAUAAUUAAAAUAAUCAUAUUUUAUACUAUAAAAUAUUUAUUAUUGAAUAUUUAUAAAAUAUAUAUAUUUUUCUCAUUAAAAUAUCAAUAUAAAUAUUUUUUAAUAAUAUAUUAAGAAUAUUAUUUAAAAUUAAAUUAAACUAUUAAAAUUUAUUAAUAAAAUAAAAUUAUAAUAUUAAAAUUAAAAAUACAUUACUAAUAUAAUUAUAUUAAACUUGAUUCAAGUUAGUUUUUAUAUAAAAAUAAAAAUAUUCAUAAAUAAGCUUAGUUCGAUAAAUUAAUUAUGUUUUUCAAAAAGACAAAUUAAUUUACAGAAAAAUGAUAUUAUUUAAAUUUCCAUACUAAAAUACUUUUAAAUUUAAUUAAAAUUAUCAAAGACUAAUGAGAUUCACAAAAUGUCUCAUAUUAUUUAACAACUUCUCAAUUUUUUGAAAAAAUCAAUUUCAUUCUCUCUCUUUUUUUUUCAAAAUUUAUCAACCCUUGAAACACAAAAAAUUUAAUAUUUUUAAUUUUUGACUGACAAAAAAAAUGAUGCUAUGAGAUAUUUUUUAUAUUAUUAGACCUAAUCUUAAUCUUUGGUAUUCCAUGCAAAUGUCUAAAUCUUCUUAGGGAGAUGGAUCGAUGGACAUAAGUAGUGGAAAUUUUGAUGAUACAAUUCUUCUCUUCUUAACAAUUUCUUUCAAAGAAAUAUAUUUAAAUUUCCACACCAAAACUUCUUUAGAUUUAAUUUAAAGGAAUAAAUCCUAAAAUUAUAAAGUAUGGAUUAAUGUGUAAUUGUAUACAGGAAUUUGAAUUUUGUGCAAUGUUAUACAUGAAAUUUUGAUUUGAUCCAAUUCUUAUAAUUUAUCAACACAAUUAUUGAUAUAAAAUCAUUUUAUGUUUAUAUAUUAUAUACAUAAAUAAUUAUAUUUAUCCAAUAUAAAAAUAAAUUGAUGUAUUUAUUUCAUUAAAUGCGUAUGAUUAAAUCAAAAUUAAAGUUCAAAGUAUAUAUUUGAACCACAAUUAGAGUUCCACGUGUAUAAUUACUCCAAACAAAAGUUCAUAUAUACAAUUACACAUUAAAUUAAAGUUGAUAUGUAAUUUUGAGAUUUAUUCCUAUUUGAAAUUAUCAAAGACAAAUGAGAUUAACGAGAUGUAUUAUAUUAUAAACAAAGUUUCAAUUCUUUGAGAAAGUUAAGCUCCAAUUUCAAAAGUUUUUUUUCAAAGUUUAUCAAAUGAAUUCAAAUUUUAAAUCUAAAAUAUGGAUUUUUUUUUAUCUUUUUUAAAUCUAAUGUCAGUUCCAAUUUUCUAGUGUUUUAGAUUGUUUACUAAACUAAAAAGCAAACCACAUUGUAAGGCAUCAUUUCUUUCAUUAUAUAUAUUUUUUUUUACGUAGACACCAAAUUUCAUCGGGAUACAAAUCAGCAUUUUGUGAUAAACUCAAUUUAACUCAACUUUAAUUGUAGCAAAGCUUCUAACCGGGGGCUCUUUUUCCACCAUUUUUCUUCAACACAUUCGGCUCCCAGCUCUCUGGAGGCAUCCUCCAUCACUGAACAUUCUUCACUCACCUUCAUCAUUGCCACCACCAACCACAUCAGCAUCAACAUCAUCAUCUUCAUCUUCAUGGAUACGAUUUCUAUAUCAUUGCACAACGUUUAAAGAACUUCGAUCCUAAAAAGGAUACUUCUAAAUUCAACCUUGUUGAUCCACCUGUGAGGAACGCAGUUGGAGUGCCUGUGAAUGGAUGGGCAACCAUUAGAGUCGUCGCUGAUAAUCCAGGUAAACACCCUUCUUCAUCAUUUCAAUUACUGUGAUUCCAUUACCAUUUUUUUUGUUAUUAGUAUUUUUCUUAAUCAUUUUCAUAGUAUUGUGGCAUACCAAUUCUUCCCUGCAUCUGGGAAACUAGUUUAAUGCUCUGUUUCAUUGGAUAAAUUUCCCUAAAAAGUAUGUGCACAUUGUAAUACUAGUGUGAGAUAGUGUUGGCCUUUGGCUAACAUUGGAAAACAUACUAGAUUGUAACACUAAAAUUCUGAUGGAGUCACCUACACCUUACCUUAAACAUGAUAUGCUGGCAAUAAUGGUGAACGUUGUGAACAUGACAUAGUAAACAGGACAUACAACAGUAGUAUUAAAAGUGUCUAAAGCAUGCAAAAUUGUAAGCUUUUAGUAGCAUCAAGAAUAAUAACUUAAAUUUAGAGUCAAUCAUCAUAUUAAAUCAAGAAUAUAAGGUUGAAAGAAAUUAUUUUUAAAAAAAACACAUUUAUGCUUUUUUAUCCUAUAAGCAAUUUAAUAAUGAACAAAUUGAUCUCUCAACAAAAAUUACAAAAUAUUUCAAAAUAAUUUUUAAAAUUCAAAAUAUUUAUAAAAAUUUUAAAUUAUAUAUAUUUUUUCAAUUGUAAGAAUUUUUUUAUUAUUUUGUUUUGAAAAAGUUUUCAAAUGUAUAUAGUUUUAAAUUUAUGUGCUCUAACAUUGAAUUAAUUAUCUUAUAACAAGAUUUUAAUUUGACAUAUUUAAUUUUUUAAUUGAACUUGAAUAAUUUCACUUGAUUCAAUUUGACUCAAAUUUCAUUUCACUCGACUCAAUUUGAAAAAAUGUCAAAUCAAGUUAGGAUGAUAAAUAGGACUCAUCAGUUCAAUUAACUCAAAAAUUUUUCACUUGAUUCGAUUAAACACUCAUAAAAAUCAUCAAAAAUAAAUGAGACAGAGAUAAUUUGCUGAAGGAUAAGAUGAAAUGUGUUUUAGAAAUUAACAUUUUUUUUCUUUCGCAUGCAAGCUAAUGUUCAAGUCUUUUUACCCAAUAAUGAGUACUCCUAAAUCCUAAUUAUUAAGUAGUAUCCAACUUAUAAAUAUGUUAUGAUCCACCAACGGGUUUAAUUAAAUCCAACACCCCAAAUUAUGGGCUCAACUCUAAAUUCAAGAUUUGGCAUUGCAUGUAAAUGUCUAAGUCUUUGCCCGAUCCUUACUAUAUGAAAACAAUGGUUUACCACUUUGUUUAAGUCAAGUCAUUAUAAACACAAAAAUAAAGCAUAUGUGUUAGCUGGUUGAGAUGGAUUGAUGGGAAUAUGGAGUGGAAAUUAUGAUAACCGCACAAUUUCUGCGAAACUUCGAUUGGUACAAAAUAAGUGCGAGGCUGUACCAAAACCCAACAUGUGUUUGAUAAAAUAAAAACCCCAUGUGUCAGCAAACGGUGGGAGUAGCAGCAUGCAGCUGUCUCUUUACACAAUCAGAACAAUGUCCAUCAGAUAUGGCUUUCAUGUUUGCUGGCUGUGAAGGAGGUUGUUUCCAUACAACUUAUUUAUACACAAAUUAGUACUUUCCAUACAUUAUUUUUAAUUUUGGACUAAGCCCGAUCACUAUUGCAUGAAAAUAAUGUUGUACCACUAAUUUUAUUUUAGUCAAUUAAUAAAAAAAAAUGGAAUUGUGGUGAUUUUUUUUAGCUGGUUGAGAUAAAUUGAUGGCUCAAAAACUAAAUUUUCUCAUAACUUUGAUGACUUUUCAAUGAACUUAAAGUGUAUGGAAUCAAUAGAAAUUUAUGGAAUGAGAUAUUAUUGGACUUAGUCUCAGCCUUUUGGCACUGCAUGCAAAUGUCUAAAUCUUUUUUACCCCAUGAAAACAAUGUUUAGCAAGUUUCUUAGGUAGUUGAGAUGGAUUGAUGGGCACAAGUAGCAGAAAUUUUGAUGAUAAAAUGUUUACAGUUUUUCUCUUCUUAGGCGCAAUUUCUUUGAAAGAAACAUAUUUAAAUUUUCACAUUAAAAUUUCUAUAGAUUUAAUUGAAAUUAUCAAAGACAAAUGAGACUGGCAAGAUAUCUUAUAUUAUUAACAAUUUUUCGAUUCUUUGAAAAAAUUAAUUUCAAUUUCAAAAGUUUUUUGAAAUUAAUAAAACUAUCAUUGAAAGGAUAAACAAACUAGUAUAAAAAUAAGUGUCCGGCUGAACUAAAACUCAGACCAACAGGUCCACCCUUUACACCCGGUCCUAAAGCCCAACACGUGAUUGAUAAAAUAUAAAGCUAAUAUCUGUUUGGAAGAGCAAAGGAUGAGAGUAGCAGCAUCUGCGUCUCUUUACACAAUCCGUCCAAUGUCCAUCAGAUAUGGCUUCCAUCAACAUCAUGCCAUUAAAUCUCCUCAGCUGUACAAAUAUUCUGAAGAUAAAAUAAUUGAAGUAAAAGUAAAUUGCAUAUAAAAGAAAGCUUGGGCAGCCAUUUCCUUGUUUAUAAUAUCAUUAUUAGCAUGGAAAUUCAGUAGCAGUGAAACAUUGCAUCCCCCAAAUCCACAGGGACCUGGAUGCAAAAUGAAUAAACACUUAUUUAUACUCAUGGAAAACUACAACAGGAAAAAAGUGCAUAUAAAGCAAAAUUACAAACCAGUGGAUUGAUCUUGUUAGGACCAUUGCCUACAUUCGUCAUGAACCUCACAACUGUACAUUCCAUGUCCUGCUUCAAGUACCUCCUGCAUUGCUCAAUGGUAACAUCAAAUUACAAGUACGAUAUAAUAGUGAACUUGGUAAAGACAGCAAAAAAUGAGGUUAUAUAUAUAUAUAUAUAUCAACUAUCUGUUCAAAUUAGAAAGACAAAUGCUUACCAGCUAAUUUUGAAGAAAGAAUUCUGAUGGAGUCACCUAUAUCUUCUGCUAUUUCUUUUCCCACACUUUUUGAACUUGUCCACCCAUUUGUUUCCCAACUCAUUCAGCACUGUAUAUCCAAUACAUAGCCCAACGACUAAUCCACUAGCAUAACCUAUCAACGCAAUUUUCCAAGUAGACAGAGCAUUUAACCAUGAAUCUUCACCUUCCCCUGGAGGUGGUGGCAUUGGAAGACUAACUUCAUUGCAUUUCCUUGACAAUGGCAGCCCACACAAUUUUGGGUUCCCACGGUAGGAAUCAUUUGUAAAUGUAAUGAAUUGGUUGCUUUGUGGUAUGCUCCCUUCAAGUUGGUUGCAUGACAAGUUCAAUGCUGCCAGGAAAGUUAAACUUGUAAGUUGUGCAGGAAUCUUCCCUGACAGCUCAUUCUGUGAGAGAUCCAAAGAUUCAAGAUCUUUUAGAUUUUCAAGUGCUAAUGGGAUUUCACCAGAAAAGCCAUUGUUGGAUAAGUUUAUCACUCUGAGUGACCUCAGCAUUUGUAUCUCUUCUGGUAUUCUCCCAUGGAAACUAUUGUUGGAAAGGUCAAGACAAGUAAGAAUUGUCAAGACUUUUUGGUACAACAUUUCAAUCCCUCUGUUAACAAUUGUCACAGAGUCUUGAUAAUAAUUCUCUCCGAUAUAAUCCAGCGUAGCCUUUUCAUCAUUAGUCAUCUCCGCCAUUGCCUUCAAACUCUGCAAAAAUUCAAUAGACAAGUCACCUGAAAAAUUGUUGGAAGCAAUGUCCAAUAUGCGUAGCUUUGGAAACCCACGUUUCGUGUCAAUUUUUGAAAUUGUGCCGUAGAAUCUGUUUGCUCGCAAAACGAGAACCUUCAAGGAAGGUAGCUUCUCUAACCAAAAUGGGAAUGUAUCAUGAACCAUAUUAUUUCCAAGGUCCAGAACCUCAAGUGCUGUGCAAUUGGCUAAUGAUCUCGACAGCUUCCCUUCCAAUUUAUUCCCACCUAUUUUGAGUGACCUUAGUCGAGUGGGUUGAAGGAAAUCAAUGGAUAGUUCACCAGAAAACUGGUUUGAAGCAAUGUCCAAUACAUCCAAAGUUGGGAAAACAGAUUUAUGUUUGAAAUGUUUAAUUUGACCAUAAAAUCUGUUUUCCCGCAAUAUUAGAACCGUCAAGUAAGGCAAUUUCUCCAACCAAAAAGGGAAUGUAUCAUUCAUCUUGUUGCUUCCCACGUCCAAAACUUCAAGCUGAGUGCAUUCAGCUAAUGAUCUGGGCAACUUUCCUUCCAAUCUAUUCUCACUAACUUUGAGAAACGACAGUUGGGUUGCUUUUGAAAAUUUUGGCAUCAUUCCACUGAAGUUAUUUCCUUGCAGAUCCAACGAAUAGAGAGCACUCAUAUUGCCCAAGCAAUUCGGAAUUGGGCCACUCAAACUGUUAUAAGAUACAUCAAAACGGCCGAGUCGACUCAUUUUGCAUAACCAAUUUGGAAUUGGGCCACUCAAAUUGUUAGAAGAUGCGUCGAAACUGAAAGGCCCCUGUGAAAAAUUUGAACUCUGAUUGGGUAGAAGUUGUUCCAAAGACGAGAGAUGGUUAUUAGCAAGAUACAGAUACCGCAAACUUUUCUUCCACACCCAGUUUGGAAUUGCACCACUUAUUUUAUUAUUUGAAAGUUCGAGAUAUUCCAAAUUUUCUUGACUCUUUAAGAACUCUGGAAAUGAGCUUAUGUUACAAGAUUCCAGAUACAAUUCCCUCAACAUUGAAAAAGAGAAGUUUAAAUCACUUAAGGGAAGCUGUUUUGGAAAAUCAAUCACAUUGAAAGAAAGGUUUACCCUUAAAAGAGUGCUAUUCCACAACCAAUUAGGCACAACACCAUGGAUAUGGUUGUUAGAAAGAUCUAACACAACCAACUUGUCUUGUGUUUUGAUGAACUCUGGAAACGCACUUAUGUUACAAGACCUCAAAUGCAAUACUUUCAACAUUGGAAAUGAGAAGUUAGCAUCAUUUAAGGGAAGCUGUUUUGGAAAAUCAAUCAUAUUGAAAGAAAGGUCUACCCAUGAAAGACUGCUCUUCCACAACAAAUUGGGCACAACACCAUGGAUAUGAUUGCUAGAAAGAUAUAAGUCAACCAACUUGUCUUGCCUUUUAAUGAAUUCUGGAAAUUCAGUAAGGUUGCAUGACUUUAGCCCUAGGCUCUCUAAUUGGGGAAAAGUAAGACUUCCGUUGUCGCUGUCAAUUAACAAGCUUACGUUGGAUAAGUAGAGACCCUUUAAGUUCUUGAGUUGGACAAACAUGUCAAGCUUCAUGGAACUGAAGCUAUUGUCUCGGAUAUAAAGCCAUUCAAGCCUUGGAAGUUGAAGGAUUGAUUUUGGGAUUGUUCCUUUUAAAUAAUUAUUGCCUAUAUAUAAUUCUUGAAUCAAAGAAGAAGAUGCAUUGGGGAACUCAUCAAUUUUCCCAACCAAUUGAUUUUCUCCAAGAUACAAGAUCUUCAACGAUGGAAGAGUAAAUAAAGAAGAAUGUAUUGAUCCAGAAAGCUUGUUCCCUCCUAGAUAUAGGUUGACCAGGUGACUAAGAUUUGCAAUUGACGAUGGAAUGGGUCCAAAAAAAUUGCAAUCAUCAAGCUCUAAAUUUGUCAGGAACUUGAGGUUACCAAUUGAUUGGGGUAGUUUUUCACUGAAAUUUGUAUAAGAAAGCGACAAACUCUGUAAAGAAUUGUUUGAUGAAAAUUCUGGCAACUGACCCAUAAGUUGGUCAUUAUCUGAAAUGUCAAUGCUUUGCAUUUUUGGCGAUAAGAGAUUUUCAGUUGGAAAAUGGCCACUCAAAUUGCAGUUCCUCUGUUGGUGCAAGAGGCAGCAGCAAGCUGUUUCUAGUCUUGCUUGAGUAGUAAGGCUCGAGGCUUGGUGAAGAAGCAAACUCGGAAGCAAUAAAAAACAGAAAGAUGAAGCUAGCAAGUGAAAACAGAAAAGAGAGAAAGAGAUUGAAUGAAAAUGAGCUGAUAUUUUUCAUUAACACAUGAACAAGGCAUUAAGCCAUUACAUAUAUCAGUCAAUAAGUAAAACAAACAAGUAAUCACCUACUAACAUACCUAACACCACUAAAAUGCCUAGUAACUUGGUAAACUUGAUUGAAAAACAAAAAAGCUUCUACCUAAGCUUGUCAUUCAGCACCUAAUUACAUCAAAAUGCAGCUACCAACUAAGUUUGAUCCUAACUAAAUACAAAACAUUCAAUUAAGGAAACCAAAUGAAUAGCUUCAGCUUGCUGCAUCAAUUUGCUGCUGAAGCACGUUCCUUGCAUGGCCACCUUUGCUGCUACAUGGGAGCUGACUUCAACACUCCUCCUCAGCUUCUAUGCAGCAGACUCCUAGCUUCCUCUUCAGGCUUAGAUAUCUUGAUACACCAAGAGGCUUUGUGAAGAUAUCGGCAAUCUGAUUUUCAGAACUGCAAUGGAUUAGCUCAAUUUCUCGAGCUUGUUCCAUUUCUCUUAUCACAUGGAGUUUGAUGUUGAAAUGUUUUGUCCUGCCAUGAAAGACAGGAUUUUUAGCAAUAGCAACUGCUGACUUGUUGUCACAAUGUAUCACAGUUGCUUCAUUCUGCUGUAGAUUCAAGUCACUCAAAAUUUUUCUCAGCCACAUGGCUUGAUUAACAGCAUUGGCAGCUGCUACAUACUCUGCUUCUGCUGUCGAUUGAGCCACCAUUGUUUGUUUUCUUGAGCUCCAACAAAUCAUAGCUGAGCCAAGUGUAAAAGCAUAGCCAGAAGUGCUCUUCAUGUCAUCCUUUGAACCAGCCCAAUCGCUAUCAGUGUAGCCAAUCAGUUUCAACUCUUCAGCCUUUCUAAACUGUAUUCCAUGGUUUAAGGUACCUUUAAUGUAUCUUAGCACCCUUUUCCCAGCCUUGUAAUGUUGCUGGUUACAGCAGUGCAUGAACCUUGAUAGCAUGCUUACAGCAAACAAAAUGUCGGGUCUUGUUGCUGUCAAAUACAAUAAACACCCAACAAGGCUUCUGUAAUCUGUUUCACAGACAGAUUCAUGUUCCUCCUGGCUCGAUAGCUUUAUGCCAAUAGCCAUUGGUGUGCUCACUGGUUUGCAAUUCUCCAUUGAGAAUUUAGCCAGCACUUUCAAGGCAAAUGUCUUUUGUUUCAAGAAGAUUCCUCCUUCUAUUUGAUUGACUUCCAUUCCUAGGAAAUAUGUCAUCAAUCCCAGGUCUGACAUCUCAAACAUUUUCUUCAUUCUUGCUUUGAAAUCAACCAUCAUAAGCUUGUCUCCUCCAGUCACGAGAAGAUCAUCAACAUAUAGUGACACAAUAAGCUGUGUUUCAGCUCCAUUCUUCUUAACAUAGAGUGUUGGCUCACUAGCACUCCUUUCAAAUCCCAAACUGACCAAAUAUGAGUCAAUUCGAGCAUACCAGGCUCGAGGGGCCUGUUUUAGGCCAUACAAGGCCUUUCUUAGCCUAUACACCAAUUGUUCCUUACCAGGCACUAUAAAACCUGGGGGUUGCUCGAUGUAUAUCUCUUCUUCAAGAAAUCCAUUGAGGAAUGCAGACUUGACAUCCAUCUGGUGGAUUGUCCACUGGUUCUGAGCAGCAACUGCAAUCAGCAAUCUGAUUGUAUCGAGUCUGGCUACUGGAGCAAAUGUUUCCAUGUAGUCCAGACCAUACCUUUGACUGAAGCCCUUUACAACUAGCCUGGCCUUUAGCUUGUUUAAGCUUCCAUCUGCAUUGUACUUCACUCGAUAGACCCAUUUUACACCGAUAGUCUUUCUGUUGGCAGGCUUUUCAACCAACUCCCAUGUCUGAUUCUUUACAAUCAUGUUGAUUUCAUCAACCAUAGCUUGUUUCCAACCUUCAUCUGCCUCAGCCUCUUCAAAACUGCUAGGUUCUGCUAAUGCAACCUGUGCCCUUUCAUAAAUAUCUUCUAGGGGCCUUGUGCCUCUCACAGGCACAUCAUCAACAUCCAUUUCAGGUUCUAGCUGCUCAAGUUCAGCUUGAUUAGGCACUAGGUCUUCUGAAAUUGCUUCUGGCUCAUUUUUCUCCCAAUUCCAGCAGGCUUUUUCAUCAAAGAUGACAUCUCUGCUCACUUGGACUUUGUUUGUCAAGGGAUCCAGAACCCUGUAGCCCUUUUUGACUGAGCUGUAGCCUACUAGAACACCUGGUUGAGCCCUUUUAGAGAGCUUGUCUCUCUUUGCUGCUGGUAUUUGUGCAUAACACAGGCAACCAAACACUUUCAGGUGUGCCAAGGAAGGCUUGAAACCAAACCAAGCCUCGAAAGGUGUCUCGGAUGCAAGAGCUUUAGUGGGAAGCCUGUUCUGAAGGUAAACAGCAGUGUUUACUGCCUCAGCCCACAUGGUCUUGGGCAGUUUCUUCUCAAACAGCAGACAUCUGGCCAUAUCCAUCAGACUUCUAUUCUUUCUUUCAGCUACCCCAUUCUGCUGAGGUGUGUAGACAUUUGUAAGCUGAUGUUUGAUACCAGCAUCAUUGCAAAUGGCUUGAAACUGAGCUGAAGUGUACUCAGUGCCAUUGUCUGUCCUUAUCGAUUUCAGCUUGCAACCUGUUUCUGUUUCUACAGCAUUUUUAAACUUCACAAACACUUGAGCUACCUCAGACUUGUGUUUUAAAAAGAAAAUCCAGCAAAACCUUGUAAGAUCAUCAAUAAAGAGGAUGAAAUACCUGUUUUUGCUGAGUGAUUCAGUCCUCAUCGGGCCACAUACAUCAGAGUGCACCAGCUGUAGUCUUUCAGUAGCUCUCCAAGCUGAAUUUGUAGGAAAUGGCAGUCUUGCCUGUUUCCCCAUUUGGCAGACUUCACACACAUCAUCAUGCUCCACUGAGCUGGUGAAGUUCUCUGCCAUGCCCUCUUUGGCCAAUCGAGCCAUUGAUCUGAAGUUGGCAUGUCCAAGCCUUUGAUGCCAAAGCUUGGAGUCUUCAACAGAGGCUGUGUAUGCUGAGUUUGAGUCAUUUGCCCAGUGAACCUCAAAGCAUUUAUCAGUCAUUGUGACUGUCAUAAGGCUUGAUCCACUUGGAUCAGUAAUAUGGCAUUGUUUAUCCUUGAACACAACAGAAUAACCUUUCUCGAGCAGUUGAGCUAUGCUGAGAAGGUUUCUGUCAAUCUGUGGUACCAACAGCACAUUUGGAAUGAUCUUGUUGCCUGUGGGAGUAGAUAUCAGCACUUCUCCUCUUCCUUCAGCCCUUAUAAACUGACCAUUUCCAACCUUGACCUUGGUUUUAUAACUUCUGUCCAAGGUUUUAAACAAGGAGGCAUCUGGUGACAUGUGGUUAGUGCAACCACUGUCCAGCAGCCAGCCUUUAGAGCAUUUCUUCUCAGAAGCUACACAGGAAACAGCAAAGACCUGUUCUUCUUGGUCACUACUGUCCUCAGCUACUCGAGCUUCAACCUUUGACUGCUGAAAUUGAUUCUGCCUUGGCUUACUUCUGUUUUUGCAGACCCUUUCAACAUGGCCCUUCUUCUUGCAGUGUUGGCAUACUGCAUCUGGCCUAAACCAGCAUCUGUCUUCUGGAUGGCCAGGCUUCUUGCAAUAUCUGCAUGGCUGGUCAUUGCUCCUUGCAGCAUCAGGCUUAGGCCUGUUUUUCCAAGGCCUUUUGCCUCUUUGAGCAUUAGUGCUCGAGGUUUCUCUGGCCUUGGCUUGAAAUGCACCUUCUUGGUGAUCUUCAGCUCUGCUAGCUCUUCUUUGUUCCUGAGCAUAAAAGGUGUUGAUUAGCUCAGUCAAAGAGAUGCUAGCAAGAUCUCUUGAGUCCUCUAGAGAGGAUAUCUUGGCCUCAUAUCUCUCAGGCAAAGUGGAGAGGACUUUCUCCACAAUUCUUGCCUCAUCAAAGUGCUCACCUAGGAGCCUUAUGCUGUUAACCACUGCCAUAAUUCUAUCUGAGUACUGCUUCACUGUUUCUUCUUCCUUCAUCUUCAAAUUCUCGAAAUCCCUUCUCAAGUUUAGCAGCUGCUGUUGCCUUGUUCUCUCAGUGCCUUGAAACUCCUCCUUAAGCUUAUCCCAGGCCUGUUUUGGAGUCUCACAGGCCAUGAUUCUGGUGAAGAUGACAUCUGACACACAGUUCUGGAUGCAGGACAUGGCUUUGUGCCUUUUGGUCCUCUCAUCAGCAUGUUGCCUAAUCUGAGCUACUGUGGGAUUAGCCCUCAGUGGUGCUGGCUCAGUAUCUGUGUUGACAACUUCCCACAGAUCAAAAGCCUGUAGGUAAGUCUUCAUCUUGACCAGCCAUAUGUGAAAGCCUUCUCCAUUGAAGACUGGUGGGGCUGCUGGUGAAAAUCCUGAAGAAGCCAUCAAGUUCUUUGUUUUGAAGCAACAGGUCCACUAAGACAAGAGCUCUCGAUACCAAUUGUUGGUGCAAGAGGCAGCAGCAAGCUGUUUCUAGUCUUGCUUGAGUAGUAAGGCUCGAGGCUUGGUGAAGAAGCAAACUCGGAAGCAAUAAAAAACAGAAAGAUGAAGCUAGCAAGUGAAAACAGAAAAGAGAGAAAGAGAUUGAAUGAAAAUGAGCUGAUAUUUUUCAUUAACACAUGAACAAGGCAUUAAGCCAUUACAUAUAUCAGUCAAUAAGUAAAACAAACAAGUAAUCACCUACUAACAUACCUAACACCACUAAAAUGCCUAGUAACUUGGUAAACUUGAUUGAAAAACAAAAAAGCUUCUACCUAAGCUUGUCAUUCAGCACCUAAUUACAUCAAAAUGCAGCUACCAACUAAGUUUGAUCCUAACUAAAUACAAAACAUUCAAUUAAGGAAACCAAAUGAAUAGCUUCAGCUUGCUGCAUCAAUUUGCUGCUGAAGCACGUUCCUUGCAUGGCCACCUUUGCUGCUACAUGGGAGCUGACUUCAACAUCCUCAAACUGAGAGAAACCAAACGAGAGGAAAUUUCCAAGAAAUUGGGAGGUAAAUAAGAGAUUGGGUUCCAAUCAAGGAUAAGUUUGGAAAGAAAAGAGAGUCUUGAGAGUGAAGAACAUAAUGGACCUUUCAAACCACAGCUUGACAGACUCAACACAUGCAGGUUUGGAAGUACAAGAGAUGUGGUUUCACACCAUUUAGUACUUUGAGUUGAAAUGUCGACACCAUCCAAAUAAAGCUCCGUGAGAAACUUCAAAUUCUUGAUAAAUGUCUUGAAGUUUGGUUUCUCCAAUUUUAAAGUAGCUGAGUUAUAAUCGUAACCAUUUCUCCAAUAGCAAUCAUCUUGAUAAGAUAGGUUCAGAGAGACUAACCUUGUUAGGUGUGAGAUGUUCAUUGGAAUUUGGCCAUGGAAACAUGAGCUUGAAAGGUUGAGAUGAGUUAGAUUUUGGAGUUUAUCAAACCCAUAGGAAAACAGAGUGGUAUUAAAGUUGUUUCCAGCAAGAUUAAGGCGUUGAAGACGAUGGAGAUUGAAUAUGGGGUGAAAGCUGCCUGAAAGGUUUUUGUAACUAAGAUCAAUGCCAACGACAUGACCAUAAGCAUCACAAGUGACUCCUUCCCAAGAGCAACAAUCAGUGUUGACAUCCCAGAGGUCAAAUUCGGAAGAGAAAGUAAAAUGAGGGGCAUAGUAAAGAUGAUGCUGCAAUUGCAGGAGAGGAGCUCUCUGGUCAUCAAGGCAUUGCUUAGGGAGAUGAGAUUGAGGAGGUGAAAAAGACAAGACAAGAGAAAGGAAGCAUGAGAAGAGGAAGAGUGAAAUAAGGAAAUGAAGAGUGUUCAUGUUUGUUGGGUGUGAAGAAGGAUUGUGCUUGGCAUACAACUUAUUUAUACACAAAUGUGUAGUUUUCAUGUUUGGCAUAGCAUGCAAUUUCCAAGUCUUUUUGCCCAGUCAAUACUGCAUCAAAAUAAUGUUCCACCACUUUAGUUAAGUCUUUUUGGUUAACCUUUUCCAGCAAGGGAUAAUAAUAAUAAUAAUACUAAUAAUAAAUAAUUUAUAGCAUAAAUUAUUUGUUGUUAGUAUUAGAAAUAAGUUGUUAAAUUCACAUUUAAUUUGCGUUUUAAUAUAUUAUUAGAGAAUAAUAUAUUAUUGAUGUCAUUUUUUUAAUAUUUAAUAUUUAUGUUUUAUGUUUUAUAUUAAUAAAUAUUUUUAUAAUUCGAGUUUCGAGUUGAAUUUUACAAUUUAAAUAACUCAAAUACUUCAAACAAUAAAUUGAUGUACAUGCUCCUUUGGUCCCUGUCAAUUUUAAAAAUUAACAAAUUGAUCUCUCUCAACAAAAGUUUUCAAAUAAAAUUUUAAAUAAUUUUUAAAAUCAAAAUAUUCAUAAAAAUUCUCAAAUUUAUAUUUUGUAAAAACUAUAAUAAUUUUAAAUCAUAAUGGUUUUAAUUUGAAAAUUUUAAAAUCUUUAAUUUAGGACCAGAAAAAAUUGUAGUAUGAAAUAUUAUAGGCCUUUUAAUUUAGGUAUUAAGUCUUUGGCAUUGCAUGCAAAUGUCCAAGUUUUUAUUGCACAAAAAUAAUGUUUAACCAAUGUGUACAAGUCAAGUCACCUUAUAGAUUGAUGGACACAAUAAGUGGAAAUUUUGAUGAUAGAAUAUAUAGAAUUUUUCACUUUUGAAAGAUACAUUUUUAAAUUUCAGCUUUCAAACUUUCUUAAAGCUUGAGAAAUAUUUUCAUUUCUAUAUUAUUAUUUAAUUAUUAUUUAAUUUUAAUAUUUUAAUAUUUUAUAAUAUUAAAAAUAGUUAUAAUUCGAGGUUCGAGUUGAAUUUUAUAAUUUAAAUAAUUCGAAUAAUUCAAAUAACAGAUUGAUAUAUUUACUCCUUUGAUUCUUGUCAAUUUUAAAAAUUAACAAAUUAAUAUUCUCUCUCAACAAAAAUUACAAAAAUAUAUUAAAAUAUUUUUAAAGUUAAAAUAUUCAUAAAAAUUCUAAAAUUUAUAUUAUGUAAAGACUAUAAUAAUUUUUUAUUAUUUUGCUUUGAAACAGUUUUCUAAUAUUUAUGAUUUCAAAUAUUAAUUAUACUAUAAUAAAAUUUUAAUUUGACAUAUUUAUUUUUUAAUUUAAAUCAAACAAUUUUACACAAUAAUGUUUUUUAUAUACCCUAUAAUUUUGACCAGUCAACACUAUAAACAUAGGUAAAAUACAAAUACAUAAGAGCUCAAAAAUAACACUAAAAAAAACAAUUGUUUGAUUUAUUAGUAGAGAAUUGGAUUUUUAAUUCUAAUGAUUAAAUAUCAAACUCAAACAACUUCAAAUAUAUAUACAUAAAGGAUGUUAUGUAACACUCAUAAAAAUCAUCAAAAAUAAAUGAGUACUCCUAAAUCCCAACUUAUAAAUAUGCUAUGAUCUACCAACGGGUUUAAUUAAAUCCAACACCCCAAAUUAUGGGCUCAACUCUAACACUACACCAGAACAGGCUUUUAGCGGCAUAUUUUGUGGCGUUUGGAUUACAAACGCCGCUAAAAAUCGAGCAUUAGUGGCGCAAAGAAUACAACGCCGCUAAAGAUCUAGCAUUAGCGGCGCUUCUUUUAAAACGCCGCAAAAAGUCGGAUGAAUAGUGGCGUUUCCCGAACAAACGCCAUAAAAAAACAUCAUUAGUGGCGUUUACCACACAGUGCCGUAGAAUCUCAAGACCAACACGCAGUGUUCUGGUCUUGAUGUAUAUUAGAAUUAGUGGCGCUUACGAACAAACGCCGGUAAUGCAUAGUAUUAGCGACGCUUAGCGGAAGCGCCGCAAAAGAUGUUAACCAAAACGCAGAGUUUGGUGUUGAUGUAUAUUACAAUUAGUGGUGCUUAUAAAGAAAACGCCGCUAAUGUAUAGUAUUAGCGGCGCUGAGCGUUAAAUGCCGCAAAACAUCUUAACCAAAACGCAGCGUUUUGGUCUUGAUGUAUAUUAUAAUUAGUGGCGUUUAAGGAAAACGCCACUAAAGCAUAGUAAUAGCAGCGUUUGGUUGUAAGCGCCUCAAAAUAUCUUAACCAAAACGCGGAGUUUGGUCUUGAGGUAUAUUAGAAUUAGUGGCGCUUAUUGGAAAACGCCGCUAAACUAUAGUAGUAGCGGCGCUUGUGGAAAGCGCCGCAAAGUAUCCUAACCAAAACGCAGAGUUUGGCCUUGACGUAUAUUAGAGUUAGUGGCACUUAUUUCAAAACGCCGCUAAUGCUUACUAUUUGCGGCGCUUUGUGGUAAGUGCCGCCAAAAAAUGCACAAUAAAAGGAAAAUACAAAAAGCAAGCCAAUUAAAAAUAAAAAACAAAGGAAGCAAUAAGUAAAUAAAUAAAUAAAAAGGUGACUACCAAUAAAACAUUUUAUUAAAAAUUGAAAAUAAAUAAAUAAAUAAUAAAUGAAACAGUUUGUAAAAAAAAUUGAAGUUAAAUAAACUAAGGAUCAUAUUGAAAUCGGAAUAAAAUUAAGGAGUAUAAAUUGUAAAUAAAAAAGGCUAAUAAGAAUUAAAAUAUAACAUGCUAAAAAGAAUAGGGACCGAAUAGGAGAAUAUACCUUGCCCUUAUGCGCACCGUUUCUCACGGGACUAAAAUGAAAUAAAAUUAAAAUUUCGUGAUAAAAUUAACAUAAAACCUAGACCAACAGGUUCACUCUUUAUUAAUGAGUAUGGAACUUCUGAAUAUGUUAGGAUUUACCAAAAGGUUAAUUCCUUAAAUUAUGGAUUAAAUUUUAAAUUGAUUUCUAAAUUUUUAAAAAAAAAUUUGAUUAAGCCCUCAAACUAUAAGUUACAUCCUAAUUUGAAAUUUUUAAUUUUGGACUAACAAAGAAAAUAUUAGUGUGAGAUAUUGUUGGCCUUUGGCUAACAUUGGAAAGCAUACUAGAUUUUAAGAAAUAAUUUAUUUGAUAAAAUUUUUAUUAUUUUUAUUAUUUUUAUCAUAUUAUUACUUAAUUCAACCAUAUUUUUAAAAUUAAUAAAACUAUCCUUGAAAGUAUAAAUAAACUAGUAUAAAAAUAAGUGACGGGCUGAACUAAAACCCGGACCAACAGGUCCACCCUUUACACCCGGUCCUAAAGCCCAACACGUGAUUCAUAAAAUAUAAAACUCAUGUCUGUUUGGAAGAGCAAAGGAUGGGAGUAGCAGCAUCUGCGUCUCUUUACACAAUCAGUCCAAUGUCCGUCAAAUAUGGCUUUCACCAACAUCAUGCCAUCAAAUCUCCUCAGCUGUACAAAUAUUCUGAAGAUAAAAAAAUUGAAGUGAAUUGCAUAUAAAAGAAAGCUUGGGCAGACAUUUCCUUGUUUAUAAUAUCAUUAUUAGCAUGGAAAUUCAGUAGCAGUGAAACAUUGCAUCCCCCAAAUCCACAGGGACCUGGAUGCAAAAUGAAUAAACACUUAUUUAUACUCAUAGAAAACUACAACAGGAAAAAAGUGCAUAUAAAGCAAAACUACAAACCAGUGGAUUGAUCUUGUUAGGAUCAUUGCCUACAUUCUUCAUGAACCUCACAACUGUACAUUCCAUUUCCUACUUCAAGUACCUCCUGCAUUGCUCAAUGGUAACAUCAAAUUACAAGUACGAUAUGAUAGUGAAGUUGGUAAUGACAACAAAAAAUGAGGUUAUGAAAACCUAUAUAUAUACAUAUAUAUCAACAACUAUCUGUUCAAAUUAGAAAGACAAAUGCUUACCAGCUAAUUUUGAAGCAAAAAUUCUGACGGAGUCACCUACAUCUUCUUCUAUUUCUUUUCCCACACUUUUUGAACUUGUCAACCCAUUUGUUUCCCAACUCAUUCAGCGCUGUAUAUCCAAUACAUAGCCCAACGAUUAAUCCACUAGCAUAACCUAUCAACGCAAUUUUCCAAGUAGACAGAGCAUUUAACCAUGAAUCUUCACCUUCCCCUGGAGGUGGUGGCAUUGGAAGACUAACUUCAUUGCAUUUCCUUGACAAUGGCAGCCCACACAAUUUUGGGUUCCCACGGUAGGAAUCAUUUGUAAAUGUAAUGAAUUGGUUGCUUUGUGGUAUGCUCCCUUCAAGUUGGUUGCAUGACAAGUUCAAUGCUGCCAGGAAAGUUAAACUUGUAAGUUGUGCAGGAAUCUUCCCUGACAGCUCAUUCUGUGAGAGAUCCAAAGAUUCAAGAUCUUUUAGAUUUUCAAGUGCUAAUGGGAUUUCACCAGAAAAGCCAUUGUUGGAUAAGUUUAUCACUCUGAGUGACCUCAGCAUUUGUAUCUCUUCUGGUAUUCUCCCAUGGAAACUAUUGUUGGAAAGGUCAAGACAAGUAAGAAUUGUCAAGACUUUUUGGUACAACAUUUCAAUCCCUCUGUUAACAAUUGUCACAGAGUCUUGAUAAUAAUUCUCUCCGAUAUAAUCCAGCGUAGCCUUUUCAUCAUUAGUCAUCUCCGCCAUUGCCUUCAAACUCUGCAAAAAUUCAAUAGACAAGUCACCUGAAAAAUUGUUGGAAGCAAUGUCCAAUAUGCGUAGCUUUGGAAACCCACGUUUCGUGUCAAUUUUUGAAAUUGUGCCGUAGAAUCUGUUUGCUCGCAAAACGAGAACCUUCAAGGAAGGUAGCUUCUCUAACCAAAAUGGGAAUGUAUCAUGAACCAUAUUAUUUCCAAGGUCCAGAACCUCAAGUGCUGUGCAAUUGGCUAAUGAUCUCGACAGCUUCCCUUCCAAUUUAUUCCCACCUAUUUUGAGUGACCUUAGUCGAGUGGGUUGAAGGAAAUCAAUGGAUAGUUCACCAGAAAACUGGUUUGAAGCAAUGUCCAAUACAUCCAAAGUUGGGAAAACAGAUUUAUGUUUGAAAUGUUUAAUUUGACCAUAAAAUCUGUUUUCCCGCAAUAUUAGAACCGUCAAGUAAGGCAAUUUCUCCAACCAAAAAGGGAAUGUAUCAUUCAUCUUGUUGCUUCCCACGUCCAAAACUUCAAGCUGAGUGCAUUCAGCUAAUGAUCUGGGCAACUUCCCUUCCAAUCUAUUCUCACUAACUUUGAGAAACGACAGUUGGGUUGCUUUUGAAAAUUUUGGCAUCAUUCCACUGAAGUUAUUUCCUUGCAGAUCCAACGAAUAGAGAGCACUCAUAUUGCCCAAGCAAUUCGGAAUUGGGCCACUCAAACUGUUAUAAGAUACAUCAAAACGGCCGAGUCGACUCAUUUUGCAUAACCAAUUUGGAAUUGGGCCACUCAAAUUGUUAGAAGAUGCGUCGAAACUGAAAGGCCCCUGUGAAAAAUUUGAACUCUGAUUGGGUAGAAGUUGUUCCAAAGACGAGAGAUGGUUAUUAGCAAGAUACAGAUACCGCAAACUUUUCUUCCACACCCAGUUUGGAAUUGCACCACUUAUUUUAUUAUUUGAAAGUUCGAGAUAUUCCAAAUUUUCUUGACUCUUUAAGAACUCUGGAAAUGAGCUUAUGUUACAAGAUUCCAGAUACAAUUCCCUCAACAUUGAAAAAGAGAAGUUUAAAUCACUUAAGGGAAGCUGUUUUGGAAAAUCAAUCACAUUGAAAGAAAGGUUUACCCUUAAAAGAGUGCUAUUCCACAACCAAUUAGGCACAACACCAUGGAUAUGGUUGUUAGAAAGAUCUAACACAACCAACUUGUCUUGUGUUUUUGUUGGAACAAUGACAGCAGCAAACAUCAAAGCAAAUUUGCAACUCAAUGUUUGCAAGACUGAAGCAAGAAGAAUCAAGGCAAGCAAAGCAUCAAAAAUCAAAAUACUCAGCAAUGUUUGUGACUGAACAUACCUCAUUUUUCAUUCAACUUGAAAUAUAUAAAAGAGUUACAAUUGUACAUUGACAGUUACCUAAUGUAUUUAACUGCCCCAACUAAUACAAACCUAAUCACUAGCCAAAAAUAAUCAAACAUAGCUGACCAAUCAGCCAUUACAUCAAAAGAUCAUGUCACUAACUUAAGUUUAACUAGCAUUACAAACAAACUAAAGUUGAACUGAAUCAAAUUACAUCAAAACAAAACAGCAAAGUUGGUUGCUUCAUUCAGUUCAAAAACCAUUCGUGCGCACCAAGCAAAACGAGCUGAGCUCGAUAGCUGCUGGUCUCGAUAGUAGCAAGCUUUUGGCUCCAUGUUGCAUUGCAGUCCAGCUUUCAACACUCCUCCUUGGACUGUAUGCAACACAUUCCAAUUGCACUUCUCAAAGAUUCAAAUCGAGCAGCCCCUAAGGGCUUGGUCAUUAUGUCAGCCAAUUGUGCUCCUGAGCUGCAAUUCACAAGGCUGACUUCCUUUGCUUGUUCAGCCUCUCUAACAAAAUGCAAUUUGAUCUUAAAGUGCUUAGUCUUGCCAUGGAACACAGGGUUCUUGGCUAUUGCAACUGCAGACUGAUUGUCCACCCAGAUUUCAGUUGCUUCAUCUUGAGUUUCAUUAAGGUCAUAAAGCAGCUUUCUUAGCCAAAUGGCCUGAUUAACUGCUCCUGCUGCAGCAAUGUACUCUGCUUCAGCUGUGGACUGAGCAACAGUUUGUUGCUUCUUAGAACUCCAGCAAAACAUACCCGAUCCAAGUGUGAAGAAGUAUCCAGAGGUACUCUUCAUGUCAUCGAGAGAUCCUGCCCAGUCGCUGUCAGAGUAGCCUUCUAAUUUCAGUUGGUUCUGACUUUCAAACAUUACACCAAAACUAGCAGUGCCCUUGAUGUAUCUAAGGAUCCUCUUUGCUGCCUUCAAAUGUGCCUCAUUGCAACAAUGCAUAAAUCUUGAUAACAGGCUGACACCAAACAUGAUAUCUGGCCUGGUUGCUGUUAGAUACAACAGACAACCAACCAGGCUUCGAUAGUGCCUCUCAUCAACCCUCUGCUGAUCACCACUGCUAGUCAGCUUUUCUCCUUGAGCCACAGGUGUGCUGACUGCUUUACAGUUAUGCAUGCAAAAUUUGUCUAGAAUCUUCAAAGCAAAUGAGUGUUGGCUGAUGAAGAUACCUCGAUCAGAUUGGUGCACUUCCAUGCCAAGGAAGUAAGUCAUGAUCCCCAAAUCUGUCAUCUCAAACACUUGCUGCAUUUGGACCUUGAACUGAUCAAUGAGCUCGAUUUUGCUCCCUGUCACAAGCAAAUCAUCCACAUACAAGGAGACUAUCAGCAAGGUUUCAUGUUCUGACUUUUUAACAUAUAGAGUAGGCUCACUAAGGCUCUUUGCAAAUCCAAGUUUGGUCAGGUAGGCAUCAACUCUGUCAUACCAGGCCCUUGGUGCCUGUUUCAGGCCAUAGAGGGCCUUUCUCAACUUAUACACUUUGUCUUCAUGUCCAACAACUUCAAAACCUUCAGGUUGCUCGAUAAAGAUCUCCUCCUUGAGAAAACCAUUCAGGAAUGCUGAUUUGACAUCCAAUUGGUGAACUCUCCACUGCUUCUGAGCUGCUAAAGCAAACAGCAGCUUAAUUGUAUCCAGUCUUGCCACUGGAGCAAAAGUUUCUAGGUAGUCAACACCAUACUGCUGACUGUAGCCCUUCACCACAAGCCUGGCCUUGUGCUUGUUCAGUGAGCCAUCAGCAUUGUACUUGGCCCGAUACACCCAUUUAACUCCUAUGACCCUCUUGUGUUCUGGUCUGCUCACCAACUCCCAAGUCUGAUUUUUGUUGAUCAUUUCCAACUCAGCUUCCAUAGCUUUCAUCCAGCUUCUGUUUUUAGCAGCCUCUUCAAAGUCUGAGGGCUCAAUCACAGCAACAUUGCACCUCUGAUAAACAUCAACCAAAGUUCUGGUGCCCCUCACUGGUAUAUCAUCGACAGCAUCAUUACUUGGUCCUUCUUCUGCAGGUUCAACCAAGUCUAACUGGUCCAAUUCAGACAAGUUAGCCACAACACCAUUCCAAUUCCACACCUUUUCCUCAUCAAACUUAACAUCCCUGCUGACUAAAACCUUCUUUGCUGUAGGAUCAUACACUCUAUAGCCCUUCUUAUUGCUGCUGUAGCCAACAAAGAUUCCUGGAGUUGCUCUGCUCUCAAGCUUGGUCCUUUUCUCCACUGGAAUAAGUGCAUAACAUACACAGCCAAACACUUUUAAGUGUGUUAUCACAGGUUUGACUCCGUGCCAAGCCUCAAAAGGAGUCUUAUCCUUGACUGCUCUAGUUGGCAGUCUGUUGAGCAGAUACACUGAGGUGUUGACUGCCUCAGCCCAAAACUGACUUGGAAGCUUGCCUUGAAACAAGAGGCACCUGGCCAUGUUCAGUACAGUCCUAUUCUUUCUCUCACAGACUCCAUUCUGUUGAGGAGAAUAGACUGUUGUGAGCUGAUGGUGAAUCCCAGCAUUGUCACAAAGCUUCUGAAAUCUCUCAGACACAUAUUCAGAUCCAUUAUCAGUCCUCAAGGCUCUAAUUUUGCAGCCUGACUGAUUUUCAGCAUAAGCCUUGAAUUUACAGAAGGCUUCAAACACUUCUGACUUUUGCUUCAAGAAAUAGACCCAGCAUAACCUUGUUAAAUCAUCUAUAAACAAGGCAAAGUACCUGUUCUCACUGAUUGAAGGUGUUCUCAUAGGGCCACAAACAUCAGAGUGCACCAAUUCGAGCUUGUCUUGAGCUCUCCAAGCACUGUCAGCAGGAAAAGGCAGUCUAGCCUGCUUACCAAGCUGACAAACCUCACAAACAUUCCCACUAGCUUCAAUUUUUGAAAUGUCAUCAACCAGAUUCAGCCUAUGUAAUAGAUCAAUAGAUCUAAAAUUUGCAUGGCCUAGUCUCCUAUGCCACAAGUCAGUGCUUUCAACAAGGCUGGUGUAUGCCUUUCUUUCUAUUUGGCUAACAUCCAGCAUGAAGCACCUAUCAGUCAUAGAGACUGUGACUAACUCCAGACCAUUCAUGUCUUGAACAAUACAGCAACCAUCCUUAAAAACCAAUGUAUAGCCCUUUUCAACUAAUUGGCCCACACUAAGCAAAUUCUGGUCUAAUUCAGGUACAAAAAACACAUCUGAGAUCAGCUUGUUACCUGAACCAGUGCUAAUCAACACACUGCCCUUGCCUUUAGCCUCAAUCAGCCUACCAUCUCCAAUUCUAAUCCUCGAGUGGAAGCUUCUGUCUAGGCUUUUGAACAGCUUCUCAUCUGCUGCCAUAUGGUGUGAGCAGCCACUGUCUAGUAGCCAAUCAUUGCUGGCCUUGGUUGUGCCAACAAAACAAGUUGCUGUGAACACUUGCUCCUCCUGAGCUUGAAUGUCCUCAGCAGGUCUAGCUUGUUGCAGAGUAGCCUCCCUUGGUUUGCCCUUGCACACCUUCUCCACAUGGCCAAACUGUUUGCAUUUUCUACACUGAAUAUCUGGCCUAAACCAGCAAUACUUUUCUGAAUGUGUUGUCUUCUUGCAAUGAACACAUGGUGGGAACACCCUUUUUGCUUCAUCUCUUCCUGACUUGACCCUUCUAUUGUGCCAAGGCUUCUUGCCUUUUGCACUCACACUCGAGCCUUCACUGGCUUUAGCCUGGAAAGCAGCUUCAGGAUUCUCCUCCUGCCUAUUUGCCCUCCUUUGCUCAAGUGCAUAUAGGGAAUUUAUCAGCUCAGACAAUGAAAUGGCUGAUAAGUCCCUCGAGUCCUCAAGUGAAGAGAUUUUAGACUCAAAUUUCUCAGGAAGAGUUGUAAUAACCUUUUCAACAACUCUGCUCUCUGUGAAGUCCACUCCCAGGAGCCUAAUGCUGUUGACAAUGGCCAUUAUCCUGUCUGAGUACUGCUUGAUGGUCUCAGACUCCUUCAUCCUCAAGUUUUCAAAGUCUCUCCUGAGGUUGAUUACUUGCUGUUGCCUUGUCUUAUCAGUCCCCAUGAACUCCUCCUUCAGCUUCUCCCAAGCCUGCUUAGGUGAGUCACAGGCCAUGAUGCGAGUAAAUAUCACAUCAGAGACUCCAUUUUGCAAGCAGGCCAUAGCCUUAUGCUUCUUGGCUCGCUCCUCAGUAUGUUGCCUCAUCUGUGCAAUGGUGGGAUUGGCUCUCAAUGGAGGUGGUUCAGCAUCAUUCUCGAUCACACUCCAAAGAUCAUGUGCCUGGAGAUAAGUCUUCAUUUUAACUAUCCAAAUGUGAUAGUUUUCUCCAGUGAACACUGGUGGAGGUGGUGGAGUGAAACUCAUUCUGCUGAACUGAUUUUAAAUGCUUCAAUCUUACCAAAUUUUGAACUUGCUGUUGGUUUUGUUUCGAACACAACAGAUUGCAUACAAAGGCCCCUCAAAGACUCGGGCUCAUGAUACCAUUUGUUGGAACAAUGACAGCAGCAAACAUCAAAGCAAAUUUGCAACUCAAUGUUUGCAAGACUGAAGCAAGAAGAAUCAAGGCAAGCAAAGCAUCAAAAAUCAAAAUACUCAGCAAUGUUUGUGACUGAACAUACCUCAUUUUUCAUUCAACUUGAAAUAUAUAAAAGAGUUACAAUUGUACAUUGACAGUUACCUAAUGUAUUUAACUGCCCCAACUAAUACAAACCUAAUCACUAGCCAAAAAUAAUCAAACAUAGCUGACCAAUCAGCCAUUACAUCAAAAGAUCAUGUCACUAACUUAAGUUUAACUAGCAUUACAAACAAACUAAAGUUGAACUGAAUCAAAUUACAUCAAAACAAAACAGCAAAGUUGGUUGCUUCAUUCAGUUCAAAAACCAUUCGUGCGCACCAAGCAAAACGAGCUGAGCUCGAUAGCUGCUGGUCUCGAUAGUAGCAAGCUUUUGGCUCCAUGUUGCAUUGCAGUCCAGCUUUCAACAGAUUUGGAAGGUCCAUUAUGUUCUUCACUCUCAAGACUCUCUUUUCUUUCCAAACUUAUCCUUGAUGGGAACCCAAUCUCUUAUUUACCUCCCAAUUUCUUGGAAAUUUCCUCUCGUUUGGUUUCUCUCAGUUUGAGGGAUUGCAAUUUGAAUGGGCAUUUUCCAACCGGAAUUCUCUUAUUGCCAAAAAUUCAAAGCAUUGACAUUUCAGGCAAUGACCAACUUAUGGGUCAGUUGCCAGAAUUUCCAGCAAACAAUGCUUUACAGAGUUUGUCGCUUUCUUAUACAAAUUUCAGAGGAGAACUACCUCAAUCAAUUGGUAAUCUCAAGUUCUUAACAGAUUUACAUCUUUCUGGUUGCAAUUUUUUUGGACCCAUUCCAUCGUCAAUUGCAAAUCUUAGUCACCUGGUGAACUUGGAUCUGGGAUAUAAUUAUUUCAGUGGUUUAAUCCCUUCGUUUCAUAGAUUUGGAGUUCCUAAUCUUGAAAAUCUCAAUUUGGAGACGAACAAGCUUUUUGGAUCAAUACAUUCUUCUUUAUUUACUCUUCCAUCGUUGAAGACCUUUUAUCUUGGAGAAAAUCAAUUGGUUGGGAAAAUUGAUGAGUUCCCCAAUGCAUCUUCUUCUUUGAUUGAAGUACUGUCUAUAGGCAAUAAUGAUUUAACAGGACCAAUCCCAAAGUCAAUCCUUCAACUUCCAAGGCUUGAAUGGCUUUAUAUCGAAAGCAAUAGCUUCAGUUCCAUGAAGCUUGACAUGUUUGUCCAUCUCAAGAACUUGAGGUAUCUGACGCUGCUCAACACAAGCUUGUUAAUUGAAAGCGACAAUAGAAGUCUUACUUUUCCCCAGUUAGAGAGCCUAAGCCUAAGGUCAUGCAACCUUACUGAAUUUCCAGAAUUCAUUAAAAGGCAAGACAAGUUGGUUUACUUAGAUCUUUCUAACAAUCAUAUCCAUGGUGUUGUGCCUAAUUGGUUGUGGAAGAGCAGUCUUUCAUUCUUACACCUUUCUUUCAAUGUGAUUGAUUUUCCAAAACAGCUUCCCUUAAAUGAUGCAAACUUCUCUUUUUCAAUGUUGAGGGUAUUGUAUCUGGAAUCUUGUAACAUAAGUGCGUUUCCGGAGUUCUUAAAGAGUCUAGAAAAUUUAGUAGUUCUCGACCUUUCAAAUAAUAAAAUAAGUGGUGCAAUACCAAACUGGGUGUGGAAGAAAAGUUUGCGGUAUCUGUUUCUUGCUAAUAACCAUAUCUCAUCUUUGGACCAACUUUUACCCAAUCAGAGUUCAACUUCUUCACAAACCUCCUUGACUAGACCUAUUUGCAAUUUGAGUAAACUUAGAAAUUUCAAUGCAUCUCAUAACAAUUUGAGCGGCACG
rnacentral:lncRNA from 1 species